rnacentral:lncRNA from 1 species
AAUUCAUUUCUUUUCUUUGUGGGUGUUCGAUUUUAUAUUUUGUCUUUCUUUUCCCUGUUUUCUUUUUUUUAAUUUUUCAUUCUUGGGCUUAUUCCUUGUUUGCUGGAAACUUAAUCUUUUUCAGAGAAGAAAAGGGAGUUCUAUAAAAAUGCUAAGUUUGUUAACAAGUAUAAGAAGUCACUAAAGCAACAAAAUCAGGCAAAUGAUCUUCCUUUAGCGAGAAGGACCCCAGAGGUUUGUUCUCAUUUAAUUUAAUUAAUUAUGAUUAACUUGCUUUAUUUCUUUUCUUUUUCCGUUUGAAUUACAAGAGGAACGGUCUAGCUUGAAAUUGGGUUGAGGCCUAUUAUGUUGGACGUUGACAACUAUUUCAAGCUAUAAUUGUUAAUGGUGUUCAUUAGAUGAGUGAUUAAGCAUUUUACUUUUAAUUUGAAGUGUUGUUGGAUAGCAUAUGGAUUUGUGAAUGUGGAGCAAAGCCUAUACAUGAUUGAGUUCCAAAAAUAAUUGUUCUUUGAAUGAUUCUUUCAAAAAUUUAUUCAUAUUCUAUGAAAUGCUCAAUGUGCAGCUGAGAAAGACAGAUGAUUCUGUUCGAAACAUGUAAUCCAAAUUCUAUAUUGUAUCCUUGCGUGCUUUCGCGAAAAGUUUCUUUGAUUUAAAUGUAGUUUAGAAUAGACUGAGUUUGAUAAUGCAAGGACUUUUGCAGGAUGAUAAUGGAGACAUUGAUAGCAGUAGGACGAACAAAUGGAACAAGAAGAAGAGUAGUUUGCAUAGUCGGAGAGAAUUGUUUGAGAAGCAGCGGGAGAAGAAAGAGAAGGCAAGGAUGGAGAGGGAAGCAAUUAUUCAAGCAAAGAAGGAACAAAAAGAGAAAGCCGAAGCUUAUAGGAAGGAAGGACGGAAGAAGAUGUUCAAAAAGACACGUCAUGGUCAACCUGUAAUGAAAUACAGAAUCCAGCAUCUUUUGCAGUCUAUACAGAGUUCCUCUAGUGCCUCAGUUAAUAAAAAUGUGUAAUUUACAAUUUUGUUGUUUCUUGUGCUGUACUUCAUUAGUGCAUACGGUCGCUGAUUUAGAGAGCUAGUGGUGAAAGUGGGGAACUUUAGUUAAUUGCCCCAAGAGAGGAUUUUCAUUUUGCUAAUGUAGCAUUUUUGGAUAGCUAAUGGGUUUUCACUGCCUGUCUAACAACCAUCAUGUUGUUCUUUUUAAUACGAAGUAUGAAACAGCAAUUUUGUCUGAAUAUUUAGUUGCCAAUCUGUUGAUUUAUUAUAUUGCCUGUAUCCAGUUUUAUCUGUGAUAUUGCUUUGCUGGGUAAUUUACAUACUUUCACUAGUCAGAACUGGUAAUUUACAUGCAUAUUGCAACUCUUUUACAUGAAUUCCUGAACUUUAAUAAGAAAAACCUGGGAAUUAAGAUCGCAUAGUCCUCCAUGGUUCAGCCACAAGAAACCUCCCUGACUAAUCUAUAUCGCCAUCAUAAUCUUAAGGAAUGUUAACUCUAUAUCGCUAUCAUAAUCUAAACAUACCGCAAGAUUAAGGUGAAGAUAACUCAUCUAAAGCUUUUCCAGGCUGAGUUCCGCUAACAUUGAAGAAGACAACUCCCCCCCCCCCCCCCCCCCCACAUAAACUAGAAAACAAAAUUCCCUGAUACGGCUUAACUUUGGAAGCAAGUGACCACUGACCAGGGACCUUACUAUCCAGACCAAAAUGACAAAGAACCUUCUCAGGCUACACGCCGCGCCACAAGUAUAGCUCGCGGACGAGGUGGUGGGAUGCAGAUGGCCAUGAGGGUGAGAGCAAUAACCAGGGCCAAGAGAAGUCCCUUGAGAUCCAAACCAUUGCCUUCAUUUAGUUCGGAGCAAAUAACUUUUCCCAUCUCCAGUAGGAUGAGCUACGGUUUCUGUAUCCUGUCCCGAAAGGAGGCCUCAGAGUUGGGAGAAAGGAAUGUAAAUUCCAUACAUGUUAAUGGUUCUUAUAUUCAUUGGACUUCAAGUCAACUCCGAUUAAGGAAAAUUGUUUUUCAAACUGCGUUUUCAUUGGUUUGAUGUAGACUCCUGGAAAACUUCAAACAAAGAUUAGCUGCAAAAUGUGAACUUUCCGUGACUACAGGGUAGUGAAUAGAAAGGAAACCAAUGGCUUGGUCUAGGUUCGAAGGGCUGGCUAUGGAAAAGUAAAACACCGAAUGCGUGAAUCGUACGCAGAUAAGCAGAUAACGACAACCCUUGUUCACUUGGUACCUAAUGCAGAGUAAUAGUCUUCUUUCCAUAAUAAAUUUGAUAAAUUAAAUUGGGCUUAGGAAUUCCUAACUACCAUUUAAUUUAGCAUCUUGUCAAAGUUCUCAGUUUAUUUGAUGCUAACAUCAAGAAACUUGUGGCUUGAAUAAUUUUCUGUACCUUUCAUCCUAUUCAUAGUGAAGGGAUGGCGGCUAGAGGGAGGCAGAAUUUUAAUCCUACACGUUUUCUAUGAAAAAGCCUUUGGUUUCUGUUCCUCCAUAACAUAUUUCAUUAAACUUUCUCUUCGUAUAUUACUACUGUUUGAUUAUUCUCAGUCUAUAAAUAGUUGCAAUUUUUUUUUUUUGGGGUCCUUAACCUGUUUGUCCUAUAAAUUUUCUGUAUUCUUACGUAGGAGUAAUAUACAUUUUCAGCAAUAUAUAUUUUAAUAUUUUAGUCGAUUGUCAUCCAUUUUGACCCUAGGAAUUGCCGUCCAACUCUGUUGGAAAACAAAUGGAAGUGAAGUGUUUUCUCGGCAUUUUUUCAAGGCAUGUGUUACAUAUGGUUGAAAGUCAUGUAUCAUUUUUUUUAUCUGUAGCAUUACAAGGUAAUUUCCUUGGUUUUUGUUUACAAGUAGUUAUUGUGAACGUCUUCAUCCACAUCAAACAAGCUCUGCUAGUACAAUUUUGUGUUUACUGUAUUACAUCUUCCUGUUUUGUAAUAGUUUUUCACUUUACCAUGCAAAAAUAAGGACACAAAUGAGUUUGUACAAUCCAUCCCUCAAUUCACCAAAAUCAUAAAACAGAGAAAUAUGUCAUCGACAAGAUCAAUUUAAUCUUCGCUGUCCUAUUAAGAGGACAAGUAGAAACUCUGUUACAAAUUUAGAUUGCUAUCAGACUUAAAAAACCGUUUAUCAGUUCCGUGGCACAAUCAGAAUUCUCAAAAUAUGACGAGCUAUAGCCUAUAAAACUUGAAAAGCAAAGUCCAAAAGAAACAAGCCUAUUCGGGAAAAGUUUGUGAUGAAGAAGAAGAAGAGUCCUUCACAGCUCUUACCAACCUAUACGAUGAGUAACAAUCAUAGCGCGCCAUGGAGGUUGCUUAAAACAGGUUAGCAUGAGGGCGAUAGAGAUAACUAGUGCAAGGAGAAGUCCCAUGACAUCCAAGUUUAGAUCCAUACACAACUGCCCCAUCUCCAACAGUUUGAAAACCGGAUGCUAAUUCCUUUCUCCCUUUUUUAUUCUCUCUUUGCCCCAAUGGAGAAGUAGGAGAAAGGAAUCAAUUCAAAAUGCAAUUCACGUUAAGGCGGCUCUUAUGUUUGUUUAAGUCAAGUCGGAUAUGGAAAUUUUGAUAGAAAAAGGCGUAUAAGCUUUCAUUGUCAUAUGGAGAGUAGACCUGGGAAUUUCCAAUGAGGUUGUUAGCUGCAAAAUAUUGACUUUCCUGGACUAUCUACACGGCAAUGACUAGACGAAAAUAAGCAAAUAAACAGAUUCAAAGCGAUUUCUAUUGUAAAAUAAAAGCAUAGACAAAUGGACGGACACCCCAUGGUUUCAAUCAGUUUAAUGCUAAAACCUUAGCUUCAAAACUUUUCAACUAAUUAAACAUUGAUGAAACCUGAUCUUUCUUGAUAGUAUUGGAUUCCAAUCAAAGUCUUCCCCAAAGGUUCUAAAAUAUCAAUGUCACAACCACCACGUCGAGUCUCUUAAAUGUGAUAUAAUGAUGAAUAUAAUAUUGCAAUUGACACACUUGUUCAUGCGUUUAUAUUAUAAAUGGUUAUAUAAUUUACAGUGUUUCAGAGAAAAUAAACAGCCAAAUGUUGGACGGGGUCCUGUAAGUUCCAGCAUUUUUAUUAGUCAACUGAACUAAUUCUAAGGCUACCAUCAAACACCAAGUCGCCGGUCAUACCUCAUAACUCAGAACCAUCUUCUUGAAACUUUUGGCUGGAGUUGAUUAUAUUACGUAUUUAAGUGAACAAUUUUAUUGUCUCUGAUACAUUAAAAAAGGCAAAAAUAAAUAUGAGUAAAUAUAUAGAAAAUGGACAGCUACGCAAACGCAAAAAGGGCAACAAAAAUGAUCAUUUAGGGCAUUAUUAUUAUUAGUAGUAGUAGCAGUAGUCACAACAGUAGUAGUAAUUAUUUUUGCAGUCAAGGAAGCCACUUUGUACAAUCAUGAUUCUCUAAUUACACCAACUUUGCUCGUUUCUGUUUCAAUAGUUAUUAGAUAUAGGAAACGAAGUAAAGGUCCUUUUUUUUACUCAUUUAAUACUGAGAUCACUUUUUACCGAACUAAAACAGAACCCAUCAGAAGUACUGCUGUCCUGUCCCGGUGGAGACAGUGUAGCGUCAAGAAUUUGACCCUGUGAUCUCAUGAUGAGGGUGUUAAACAGUAAAAAAAAAAAUCCUUCUACUACUACCAGAGAGAUGAAAUCAGCAACCCAACAAUCAUAAGUAACACACAAUAUUAAUGAUGAAUGAUGAUCCACCAUAAAUACACCAAACGUGUGCCCAUCAUCCUUAUUGAGUCAUUUCCUUCCCCACCACUUGAUAAUUUUCACACUUACAGAAAUGAAAAAUCCCACCCUUUUCAUUUGUAAAUUUUUUCAUCUACUAGUUCUAUUUGUUUAUCAUAUGUUGUUUUCUGUCUCUAAUGUCUUAAAUUUUGGCUUGAAACUUUGAAAUAGAUGCAUUUUGGUGAUGUUUCAAUUCUUAUAUGUGAUGUUUCAAUUCAAAGCCAGAGGGGUGGGGGGUUAGGUGGCCACCAGAGAGCAGGUUAGCGUAGAAAAGAAAGCAUGAAUGAAGCAAAAGUUGUGGACAGUAACCAAUGUCGCCGAAUCUAUCACGUGGCGCAACAGUCGAGGCUAGGCUCAUAGAAUUUGGAAGCCGAGACGAACUGGCUCUUGCUACACCUUUUUCUGGUUCUGCUUUUGCAGAUAAAUAUGUAUGCGGAGAAGGUAAAAAUAAUAAUAAUAAUAAUGAGUCCCGUUGGAUUUGCUUGAUUAUCGUAAGAAAUUACUGUUAGGUUGGAUUACAGUGUUGGAUUGUUUUAAAAAUGAUAGUGACGUACAACAUAUCUCCUUUUAAGAAGUCUUUCUGGUUGCUGUAUUGCAUACCUGUAAUAGUCUUACCCUUUCCUAAUGCAAAGCCGGUUUUGGUGCGAUCUCGGAAGUAAAAAGCAGCCAUCGUUUAGCAGAGAAAGACAGGUUUCCCUCUUAUUAAAUUCAAACUCAUGGACACUUUGACAAUAACUUCUCAUGCAUUCUCACAAAACCUAGUUGUCAUGAUGGUGGAAGGGUCAAAUAUUCUCGAUUCACAUUCAAACCUCCCACUUUCCGCUAAUGCAAUCAAGCAAAAUCUUGGUUGUUGUACGACCUGAGACACAGAUUCAUCCCACAUUGCAAGCUAAAGUUUCCCUAACUUAUAGGCAUGGCCAUGAAGCUAUUAUCAUGUUAAGUCGGUUCUCCAAAUAGACCAGCUACAAUAAACCACAAGCAUGAACCUAAGAAUUAAAUUUUAGAAGCACCAUUCUCUCGGCCGCUCAAAUCUAACAUGAUAAAUCUAAGAAAACAGGUGGUCGAGAUGCCUCGAGGGUCAAAGAUCUAAUACCUUGCUGGCAACAGAAGGUAUGGAUUCAAAAGCAAGAAACCAUUCUUGUCAUUAAAACUAUGACAACUGUUAAACGAAAAUCAUAGUUAACCCACAAAUUCUAGAUUACUACAAGGUAUAUGCCAUCUGCAAAUAAUGUUUGAUAACAAAAUUAUACCCAAGUAUGGACGUGGUCGCACUUCUUUGAAGGAUAUGAAGCUAAUAAGUAAACGCAAAAUGCAAGCAAGCAAGGGUGGGAUUUCAAAAACCUCGUAUCAAUAGAAGCACAACACUGAUAUCAUGAGCAUGAGCGAUAUCAUGAGCAUGAGCGUGAUCGUAAAAGAAAAACAUAAGCAGAACACUCAGGAAUUUUUAUUACUCCAAAAGGCUAACUACCAAUGACACAAUCGCGUCCAAAAUAUAAUUACUACCCUGAAAAAGGUGAUACAAAUGCAUAAAUAUCCAAAAGCCUGCAAAUGGUAUAGAUGGUUAACUAUGGCUAUGGCUAAACAAAUAAAAACUCAGAUUAAUACACAACUGGAGUUUUCAUCUCUUUAUUAAUCAUUACUCGGUAUCCGAUAGCUCAGCCAAUAGUAAAAUGAAUGGCAAUCGAGCUAUCAAGCCUUGUAUACCCUCCAUAUUAUGUUCCCACUCCAAUCAGGUCUGCAAUUAUAUUAAGCUACAUAAAAUUAAAUUGGGAACAACGAGUAACAUAAGGAGGAUGUACCUGAUACAUUCAUUCUUGAGAUCAAAUGAGCUUUAAUAAUAUGCCUAAUUCACAAGAGAUAUCUCAAGAAAGCCUCAAUGCAGAAUCUUUAUCCCUUGUCCAAACAAAAUGAGGCAUGUCAGACCUUGGCCCAGCAACAGACCUAUAUACGUAGAGCUUAUCAACCGAGCAGCUUUCCGGUCUAGAAUCUGGAGGUUCCCUCUCAUCAAUAACUUCAACAUUCAACCUGGACAUCUUCUGACCUAGCAGUUUACAUGCCCCAAAACUCACAGAGCAAGAGGACAUCCAAAGGGAUCGCAUUGUCUCCAGCUUUGCAGCAUUGGCCAAAAGACCCUUGUCCCCAAAGGGGCAGUCCCUAAUCUCUAGUUUGCGGAGGCUUUCACACCCAGAAAGCAUGUGAUGGAGUCCCAAAUCACUCUCUCCCGCAAAAGCAACAGACAGCAUCUCUAGCUUUUUCGCAUAUGUCCCAAUAUAUUCAAACACACGAUCUGUGAGGAGACCGGAGAGGGAAAGGCGCCUGAGAUCCUUGCAGUGCUCAACAAUGGCUCCAAAACCAACAUCGAGCGGCUCAUGGGUAAUGUAAUCAGCUUUUCUUGGCUCAAUUAUACAAAGGCGAAAACGAUCAAGUUUGGACGGUUCUGGGCAAUUGUGACUAAUGCCACAUUAGACAUUUGACGGCAGAAGUACAAAAUUGACUGUAGCUUAGGACAACCCAAAGAAACGGCAACAAGGCCCCUUUCUGUCAAGGACACAUUUGGCUCAACACCGAAUGGGUCAGAUGGAAACACCCGUAAUUCCUGUAGGUCCUUGCAACUAGAUGAGAGUGCUUCAAGGCCACUAUCUUCAAUGUAAUCCAGUACCUAUAAGCAUUACCUUCCUUACUUUUAGAAAAAAUAACAGACAGACAAGUAUUUGAAAAUACAAAGAGAAGCAAGAUGCAAUUCAUUGGAAUAUGUUAUGCGACCAGAACAGUUUGAAUGGGAUCCUUAGCUUAGACCACCUAAUGUUCACAAUAUUUUUAGGGUUGGAAUUAUCUCCUGGUAAUUUUUAUUAUAGUUAGCAAAGUCAAACGCAAAGGAGGAGAAUCGCUAACAAAGAAUAAAAAUAAAUAAUCGGAUGAUACCAUAAUCAGCUUACCCAUAGGCGCUGCAAACUUGUACAGUUGCUUACAAGCUUGAUAAGAUCAGGAGUUUGUACAUUAGCAUAGCUCAAGUUCAGUGACGUUAAUCUAGAGCAGACAGAGUAAAUGGCAGGAAGGUAAGCUGGGACCACAUCCCAAAAUCCAGAUAAGCUCCUCAGUUCCUUGCAACUAGAAAAAGCUCCAGCCAAGUUUGAGAAGACAUCUGACCGUAGCUCAGAGGCAUAAGUACCAGUUCCAAAUUCAACCAGCUGAGGUGCACGACAUAAUAUGUUGGCAAUCUUAUCAAGGGGUACUGUACGGUUGAGCCGAAGAGUCCUCAGGUUGGGACAUCUACCCACCAGGCGCUCCAAGGCUGAGAAACUAAUUUCAUCAGAACCUAAGCAAGAAAUGUUAAGAGAUACCAGGGAUGUGUAUGUCUCAGGAAAAUGACUGAGCCAAUGGCCACCCAAAUCAUCAACAUCACUUUCUCGCAAGUCCAGCUCUCUCAGAUUCCUGCAUCAGCAAGCAGAGUGAUUCAUAAAAAUAACAUACAAGGCACAGAAAAGGAACAAAAACAACAUUUUGUAUAAUAUUAGAGUCUUAUUAAAUUAAAUCUAGGAGUGAAACAUAGGAAAUCAAGAAGAUCUAAGUUGUUGAACAAAUUAGAAGUUCACCACUGUCCUUGUCAUUGGAAACGACCUGACAACCACACUAAAGUUACUUUCUUUGUUACAAUUGAACUUGCAAGGAAAGAAAGUUAUAUAUUCUUUACGUGUCUGAUUGCUCAGUCAACCAUAACUAUCACUAACCCAGAAAACAAACCAAAAAAAUAAAGGUUCUUCUAAUCUAAGAAUACAAAAAUUCCAGGAUGGACUUAAACCAACAUAAAUAUUUACCGCUCUCCAACAAACAAAAAAGGACCAAAGAAAAGGGGGAAAUCAGAAUCUUCAUUACCAUCUUGGAAAAGUAUUCCCUUGAUCCACACAUCGACGAAAGUUUACAAAAGAUAUUCAUUAUUCUUAAAUAAAUCAAAAGAAAAGGAAUCUACUUAAAGAGCAAAAAGAAGCCCACAUUUCCCAGGAAGUAACCAUCCAAAAUCUGAAAAUAACCCCAAAACGAAUCUACUGAUAACAAACAAAACAAUGUAAAAAACAGCCCUACUUAGAUCUUAGAAAAGGAAAAGAGGAAAAAUAAAAGGAAGACAACUAAAACAAGCAACCAAGCUUCCAAUCUACAAGUAAAGCUUUCAGAACAGUUCUUCUAAUCAGUUUACAUUGCCAGAUAACAAUUAAACCGAACAAAAAUCUAUUUUUUAAAAAAAUCUCAAACUACUCCAUUAAGAAAAAUGUAGCUAAACCCCAAAAUAAAUUGGAGCAUAGUUCAACUUUAACUCCCGCAAAGAUCAAAACUUCAACUCUUUUUUUGACUACAAAACCAAAUAGGAGAAAUGAAAAGAGUUAAUCAAACUCACUUGCAACUAGCAGCAAUGGCAGCGAGUCCGUCAGUUGAAAACCCUUCACAGGAAACAAGCACCAACACUUUGAAAUUCUCAAACGACUUGGCAAUAAGCUCCAAGCAUUCGUCAGUAACGACCAUACGUUUAAGCCGAAUCUCUUCCAGCCAAGGGUAGGCUCUGGCCAUCUCCAUGAUCCACGGAUGGAUGCAACCGCCCCAACCGUCUGGUACCAGAUUGAAGUCAGCAAAGUGUGGUUUCCCUUUCAGCUCAAUGGAUCUAACUUCGGGGAACCGUCUGAUCACCAUCCUAGGGCUAACAGCGUAACAGUUCCCGACAAAUAUCUUCCUCCGACAGCACCGUUCGAUCUCGUACCACGAUCUACAAACCAUCGAUACCACGUUCCGGUCUUUAUCUGAUUGUAUAAACGAGAAGACGUGCUCCAGCACCUCAUCUGGCAACGAAUACGCCCUUUUCUUCUGCAUUUAUUAAAAAACGAAAAGAAAAAGAACACACACAAGCAAAAAUGAAGCCUUUUUUAUUGAAAAGAUGAAAUUUUUUCUCUUUUUUGCCCCUGAGUUUGGCCGAGAUUUAUGUUUUGUCAAGCUUUAGAGUUCGUUUUUAGAUCUGAAACGCCAUUAACGACGCUUAUAGGGAGCAGAAGAUGGGGAGCUAAACAGAGAGAGUGAAGUGACAGACAGACAAUGGAGGAUAAGGAUUUUUAUUGUGUUGAGGAAGGUUAGAUUUUAACCAUGGUUAAAUAAGUCGUGUGAAAGGAAGGAGGAGGAGAAGGAGGAGGAGUUUCAAUGGACGUUUAGGAUAGUGACACGUGGUGGGGAAUAGAUGUGGGCCGUAGGAUGGACGGUCGGAGGGGGAGAUCUUAUCCGUUGUCGACGAAGCGCAGCCGCAGAAAACUGGUGUAUGAAGAGUGUGUGGGGGCCAUGUUUUGGCGAGAGUUUGAGGAAUAUAUGGGGAGGGAGAGGGACGACAGACGAGAUUGAGAUUGGGUGAAGGAGGAGGGGACUGCUAAAGUGUGAUGAUGUGUAGGAGAGAUCGGUGGUGCAAGGAAUCUCAUGAUUUGCGUAGCACGGCUGGAUCUGGGGGAUCGGAUAUUGCGGGGACCACAAGAAAGGGGUUAAAAAAUAAAUAAUGAGGAAUGAUCUGAUGUGAAAUCUGGUUAUCAUGACGUUAUGGCCGUCCAAUCAUAUUCACUUGUUGCAUUCAAAUAUCACUUAUCCUUGACCCAUUAAUCUCCAACGGCCUUGAUUCAUUACACUAUUAUUGAUAUUGAUGAUUUUUUAAUCAAAAAAAUAUUUCUUGUCGCCGUUGAAUUUUAAUACUUGUAUUUUUUUUUCUUAUUUUUCUUUGGAUGUUAGUUUUUAUAAAAAAAAAAUACAUAAAUGUAUUUUAAGAAGAGAAUUAAUAUUAGUAGUAAUAACAAAUUUCAAAAUAGAAAAGGACAAAAGAAAAUGACAAUUUUUUUUUGUAAUUUUGUUUUGUAAUGUCCAGAAAAAUGAUAAAGUAUAAGCGAGUGCACGAUGCAUCUUAAUCAAGACCGUCAGAUCAGGGCCCUUUUUGACAGUGUAGGGACGAAUUGCACAGAACACAUAAAAUGGGUCGCGAAGUAGUAAUAAAUAUUUUUCCUGCAAAUAGUAAAAAAAUAAAAAAUAACAAAGUUAAAAGGAAAAGGUUAAAGCGUCCCCACAAUUACCUCAGGUUGCACGGACGUGGCAUCAGAGAAAAUAAUUGAUUCUUUAAUUGCUCCUUCAAAUAACGAAAAUACCCUUCAUCACACCACACAAUACGCCCUUCGCUUCUCGUAAAACUGAAGGGUAGUGUUGUCAGUUCGUGAAAAGGACAUGAAAUAAUGGGGUUGCACUGUCUCGGCAUGGACUCCAUAGAGCUGUCCUUUUAUUGUCGAAAAAGCUGAGAUAGAAGUUAAAACUCAACGGCCCGGAUUUAAAAGUUGAUAAAAGGAUAGAUGUAGAUCGUUGUAUGGCGUCUUCGGAUAAGCGUCCUUAUCGAUAGUAACCGUAAAAGCUUGUCACUACUUGUACUGUAUUAAGGGAAGGAAAACCAACCAAGCAAACAAAAAAAAAAAAAACACUUAUUUUUCUAAUUAAGUAUUUUUUAAAAUUAAUUUCUGAAUAUUUUGCUCAGAAAUGUAGGUAAUAAUUUGUUUAAUAAAUAAAAUCCAAUAAAUAUUGGAUUCAAUGAGUUAUGUUGCACGUAAGGCUAAUUGUUUAACAGAGAAAUCGUGAUUAAUAUUAAGAAACUUUUAUUAAUUUUAAGUUAAUAAUAAUUGAUUAUUAAGCCCACGCAUGGUUCUCCGGGAAUCUCUCGUCCCCCUCCAGUUGGAUUGCUUGGACUUUGCUGUAUACUUGGCUUAGGAGUGAUGCCGCCCAUCUAUAAAUUUUGAAAUGAUUUUGGAAAUCGAAUUCAAUAACAAUGAGAUUAAUAAAAAAAAUUAUAAUUAAUAAUUAAUAAUUAAUAAUAAAAAAUAAAAAUUUAUUUGAUUGAUUGUUAAUAAAGUUUUUUAGUUCUAAUAAAAAAUGAAAUGAUACGUUUUUUUAAUUAAUUUUUGUAUUUUUUAAAUAUAUAUUAAAAGAUUUGUAUCAUCUUAUUAAUUUUAUUUAUAAAAUUAAAAAUUUAAAUUGAUUGUGUAUCAAAUAUUAACUUUUAAAAAAUUACUAAUUUUUUAUAAAAAAUUAUCGAAUACAACAUUAAUUAUUUUUUUAAUUUUAUAAGUUGAGUUAACAGGAUAAGACAAACCCUUUGAUAUAUAUUUAAAGAAUAAAAAAACUAAUUUUAAAAUAAUAAAGCAUGUAUCAUUUUAUUAAUUUCUUUUGUAAAAUUAAAAAAUUAUAUUAAAAUAUAUCAAAUAAUUUAUCAUUUGAGUUAAUAUUUGAUACAUUCAAUAUAAAUUUUUAAUAACUCGAAUCAAAUUAAAAAAUUGUUAUAUGUUUUAUUUUUUUAAUUAAAUUUUUAUUUUUAAUUAUAUCUUAAAGGUAAAGGGUAUGUAUCAUCUUAUUAAUUUUGUUUGUAUAAUUUAAAAAUUUUACUAAUAUAUUUAAUAAUUUUUUAAAUAAAAAAAGUCAACUUUCGAAAAUCAAUAGAGAGAAUUGGUAAGAGUGGUUCGAAUCUUAAUCUUUAAAAAAAUUAUUUUAUAAGGAAAAUAAAUGAAUCAUUUGAUGCGAUGACUAUUAAAAAAUUUUGAGAGAGGUGGAUUUUGUUAUAACGUUUUUGGUUCAAUCAUUGAGGGAUUAUAAUAAACCCAGGAGUAUAUUUUUUGAGAUAGGUAGGUACAAUAUUUUUCUUGGUUUACUAACCUAUUGUAAUUUGAUUUAAUAAUUAGUAAUUAUAUUAUUAGCUAAUCCUUUGCACGUGAAGCGCUUUGUCCAACGCCAAGGGUCUGGAGAGAAAGAAAUGCUUUGUUAGCAUUGACGGAGGACCCAAAUCCAUUCGGGCAAACAUAUGACACUCGGACGUUCUGAAAACCGCUUAGCUUCAAACUUUCCCAUUUUCGAUACGAGUUUUUUCAAGUUUAAAAUAAAAUUGAUAAUUUAAUUAUUAAUUAAAAAGUCAUUCAUUUUAAAAUUUUAGUAUUAAUUACUAUUUUAGUGAGUUUUAAUAAUCUUAAGUUGGAGAUUUUAAUUUUUCAAUCAAUUUUGACAGAAAUGAGAUUGAUUUCAAUUUUUUUUUUAUCAAGUUUUUAAAGUUUGAUUUUAUUUUAUCAUCUCUAAAUACGAACACAUUUUGUUAUAAUAUGAAAUUUAUGUAUCAUUUAAUUUUCAAAAUUCUCUAUACGAAAAAAAGUCUGUUUUAUCUUUUACAAAACAUAAAAUUUGAAAAGCUUUGAUCAAUGCCUUUUAAGGAUGCAUACGAUGUGAGGGGAGCGAAUGCCUCGUAUCCCAAACGACGGUUCUAAAGAGAACACAAUUAUUGUCCAUGACCAGAAGGGGUGAGGGUAGGAAAUGAAGGAAGAGUGAUAAUGAUUCAUUUCAGCUUCCGUUUGAUUGUUUUUAUAGUAUAAGGCAAUUGCAAAGGGGUUUAUUAGGACGAUAAAAUAAUUCAUAUUUAAUAAAAUUUAAUUUAUUUUAAUUUAAAAAUUAAAAAUAAAAAAUCAAGUCAGAGGUAAGUCAGAGGUACAUCGUUUUUCUUUGAAGUAGAUUCAAGUUAAAGUCAAAUUUUAUGUUACAUCAACCCAACUAGAGUAUGUAUACAAAUGUUUUUAUUAUUUAUUUAAUUUAUAUAUAUUAUAUUAAUAAAUUUAUUAUUUAAUAAUUUCAUUUAAGAUAUUAAUUUAAUAAAAAUAUUAUAUUUAUAUAUAAUUAAGAUAUAAUUUAUAUUAAAAAUAAUAUUUUAAAAUAUUAUAUUAAAAUUAAUUUAUAGUAUGAUCAUAUCAAUUGUGGUUUAUAAAUAUUCAAAUCAAAUAAAAAAUAAUAUUCAAAAUGCCUAAGGCUUUUUUUUUUAAGUAAAUUACAUAAAAAAUGAAGAAAACUUAGUGAAUAAGGGUUUAGAAUUUUGGACUUUUUUUAACUUUACAUAUGAGACAAUGAAAGCUAAUGUGACAAAGAUUGUUAAUGGUUGUUGAAAAAUUCAUGCGGAGCUUAAAGAAAAAUUACGUAGAUGAGUGUAAAUUAUAUUUAAUAAUUUAAAUUCAACAUAAGUUGUAUUUAAUAAUUUUAAGUAAGUUAGAGAUUAAUUUAUUUGAUGUAAGAUAAUAUUUUAAUGAAACGUUAAUUGUGGUUGUUAGGUGAAUCUAUUUAUGUGCAAAGGGAUGGAGGUAAGCUUAUAUUACGACGAAAAGUUUAGAUGUUAAUUAUCUUUAACGAAGAUGUGAUAAUAAGACAUAUAUUAAUUUGAUGAGCGUAAAGAUUGAUUUGUUGAUUGAGUAAACAAGUGCAACAAUCAUUAAAAAUUACUCUAAAAAGUUGGAAUUUGUUUUUUUUUUUAAUUUAUUUUAAAAUAUUUUUAUUUUCUUAAACUUUAGAAAACAUAUUGUAGAUAGAAAAAUCUCAUCCAUUUAAUUACUCAUGGAUUGAGAUUGUAAAGAACCAAUUAUAAAUAAAAAAAAAUUAUAGAAUUGAACAAAUACAUAAAUUGAGACAAAAAGAUCUUGAUUAUUCAAAUUGAGAGAAAAUAAUAUAGAGUGCAUGAAUGUUGAUUUUGGAGAAAAAUAAUUAGAGUUAAGAGUCUUAGAAGUGGGUGAUGUAUAUGAUUAACUUUUCAAAUGAAACCAUAAAUUAAAGAGAGUUUAGAUAUAUUUUUAGAUAAAAAUACUAAUAUUUACAAAUUUUAUAUAAAUAAAAUAUUAAGAUAUUAAUAUAAAUAUAAUAUUAUUAUUUUUUAUUUAGAUAAAUUUCAAAAUAAUCCAAACCAAACUAAAACUAAAACUAAAAUUUUAAUUUGAUUUGGUUUUGAAAUCAAACUAAAAGUUUUUAGUUUUCAAACCAAAUUAAUAGAUUUGAUUUUUUUUUAUUUUAACAAAAUAAUACUCAGCUCUAAGUGAUACCCAUUAAGAUAAUAUUUAAAGAAAUAAAACUGCAAUUAAUGAACAGUUUUCUCUUGAAUUUAGCACAAUUAAUGCUAAAAAAAUUCUUAAAAAAAUUAUUAAAUAAUCUUUAAUAAUUAGAUUUAUUCCAAAAUAUAAAAAAGGAAUGAAGAGUUCAAAACCCAAUUUUAAUGCACUAAAGACGAAUAAUCCUACUCUCUAUCCUUAAAGCCGAAGGGUGUACAAGAAGGUGAAAAAGUAAAUACUACCGUAACUGGAUUAAGGGAAAGGAGUUUAAAAAAAAAAAAAUAGUGGCUAGAAAAACCCAAAUAUAGUCAGGUCAAGUAUCACGGCACAGGUUAGAAACACAAGAAGCGUAGGGACCCGCCAAAGAAAAACAAAGUUGGCUCGAUUUAGAGGUCGGCCGAAGUCUGCCCCCCUUAUUGCCCGCCUUGCUCUGUCCAAUCAACUGCAUUAGUGGGAAACUGUGAACACCCACCUUUUUUUCCCUUCCCUAAUUCCAUUACUCUCCAUUAUUACCCGACUUAAUCUCACCUAUUGAUUUCCUUUUUUUUUUUUUUUUUUUCAGAUUUUUAAUAAAAAAAUAGCUGCUUGCAAGUAAAAUAAAAAUGUUAAGUUAUAAUAUGAGAUACGUUACUCUCAAAUAUAGUCAAACUUAAGCAUUUGAUUUUUUUUUAAAGAAAGUUGAAAUAUGAAAAUAUAAAAAAGAUUGAUAUGUCAUGAAAUUUGAAUUUAAUUAUGUUAAAUAUUAUUUUUAAAAAAAUUAUAUAAAUAAAAUGACUUAAAUUUUAAAUAUUUAAUUUAAUUGUAAGUGCAUAUAUCUACUAUUUAAAAAAUCAAAUUAUUUUUUUAAAGCGAUUAAAGGAACAAAUCCAUCAGAAUAAAACACCAAAGAAAUAUCAAUUUCAAUGCUUCAAAUUGAGACAAAAUUAAUUAUGACCAAUAAAUCAGAAUCGAUCACUGUCUUAUGCUAAUUUUCAGUUCUUUGUUUAAGCAAAAAAAAAAAAGCAGCACAUCAUGUUCUGGUGACAGACUUUACGAAAUUUCUUUACGAAGUUGUCUACUACACGACAAAUUUAGCUUCAACGUGCUUGAGGAUGAGGCAAUUUCAAUUGAUUAAACAAGCGGCGACGAUAACAAAAAAAAAGGAAAUUAAAAACAAAAUUUUGAAUAAACCAGCGGGCAGUCAAAAUUCGCUGGAAAAUUGUGUGCUAUUGUCUUAUUUCGCAAUCAAUAACCAUCGUCAUGUUGUCUUAUAUGAGAUAGUAUCCGAUUGGACUAUGACGUAUAAUGUUUAUUCACGACUAUUUAAUCAAUUAGUUAUCAGUUACUAUUUCAGCUUGGAAUGUUAUAAUCAACUAAUUUGAAGGAAAAAAAAAAGUUGGUAAAGUAGCAAUUUCAAUUCAAAUAAAAAUUUCAUUUGAUUUCUUAAAAAAAAAAUCACAUCAUAUAUUUUCUCACGAACUAACACCUAAUACAUAUAAAUGUUACAGAUGUGAACCCACAAAAGAAAAAUUAUUUUUAUAAGUCCAAUCUCUGUGAAAAAACACUUUAAACUAAAAUUUAAAAUGUAUUAAGUUAAUAUAAAAGAAUGCACCUUUAUGAUUUCUAAAGAAAGAGAUCAAGCCAAAUCUUGGAAAAAAAUUCAAUCAUGCUAAAAAAAUACACACUUUAAAAAAAAGUUUUUCUUUUUUUUUUUAAUGUACUGAUAUCAAAAUUGACAACUCGCUCGAAAUGUGUUUGGAUGUGAUAUUUGAAAAAGAAAUUUUGUUUUCAUUAAAAUUUUAAAAAGAUUAAAAAUAAAUUUACUUAUUUGAGUAAAGAAUAUGUGUGUAAUCGAGUCGAGUCAAGUUGAUACAGUGAAAAUUCUGAGUUCGAGUUCGACUUUCAACUCGUCACUUGAUACUCGGUUUAAACUCGAUCGAGUUUUAUUUUUUUAGCUUGAGUUUGAUUUGUGAUUAAAUCGAAUUGCUCAAACUCGUUUAAUUAAGCUCGAUUAAUAUAUAAAAAUAAGUUUGAUUUUUAUACUUGAUAAAAGCUCGAUUAUUUGUAUUCGAGCUCGAGCUUGAAUUCGAUAUAUUUUAUUAAUUAAAAUAAUAAAAAAAUUAAGUAUAAAAGCUCGAUUAAGUUCGUAAACUACUCAAGUCGGGUAUAAAAAUACUCAAAUUCGACUCGAUCGAUGAGUCAAAUUACUCGAAUUAGACUCGAUAAUAAUCGAAUCAAAUUCAAGUUUUAUUCGAAUCGAAUCCAAGUAAUUUAAACGUAUUAAUAUAUCAUUUACACUCAUAAUAAAAAAAUAAUUUUCUAAAUUUUUUUAAAAUUUUGUAUCUAUUUAAUGCAUAAAAUCACUACAAAAUAGAAAACUCAAAUUUAAAAUAAUAUUUUAUUUAAUUCUAAUGUUUAUUAUAUUAUUAAUAAUAUCUAUAUAUUUUUACAAAUAUAACGUUAUCAAUAUUACAUAUUUUAUUUAUACGUAUAUAAUUUUUAUUUUUAAUAAUAUUAUUAUUUUAUAAUUAUUUUUUAUCUCGUCAAAUUUUGAUAGAUUAAAUUUUUGUAAAAAAAUAUUUGUAUAAAUAAAAUAAUGACAAAUAUUAAUAUUUUAAAAUAUCUUUAUUUUUUAAAUUUCUCUAUCCAAGAGGUUUGAUUUCAUAAAUAAAAGAUCUAGAUUUGGGCCAUAAAUGCUCUAACGUGGGGUUCAAAUAUUGUUAAUUGAUAGCGUCAUUUGCCACAAUGGUAAAGUCAAUAGGACCAAUCAGUUGGUGAACCCUCACACCAAAUGUUAGUUUGAGUGAGUUAUCAAACCCAUCUGUUGGAUACGAGAAGUUUUUAUCAUGGGCCUUGCCUACUGCCCUUUUUUUUGUUUUUUUCCAUCGGGGAGUUCGAUUAAUGGCUAAUUUUCAGUGGUCCUGAUUGUUCGAACCUCCCCAUCAAAACUCUCGCUAUAAUCCAACGGUUAUUUAUUCAUUAAUUAAGCUACUUUGGACCACUCUCCCAAGGAUCAGGCCGAUGGGUCCCGAUCCUUUUUUUUCGUCAUUGAUUUGAUGGUUUCUUUAUUUCUCAUUUAUAACACUGAUAUUGAUGUCCGAGAAAGAGCCCCACUUAGGUUCGGCCUUAGAACAGUUUUAAGUAUUUACAUCUACAAGUUUUACUAUUUACUUAGAAAUGAAGUUCUUUGAUUUAAACAACUUCUUCCCCGUCUCUCGACUCCCGUGUUGUUUUUCAAUAGAGAAAUUUACAAUCAGUGAAUUUUUUCGGCCACAGCCAAGCAAUCACUACUAAAAUUUUUGUGAUUGAACAUAGAAAAAUAAAGAAGAAAUGAAGGGAGUAAAUGCAAAAGUGAAAUUGGUAUUUGGUGGAAGAGCAAGCAUAAAUGAUUGAGAAACGAAGAACCCAUUUUUAAGCAGUAGAGUCGCUUGGGCAUUGAGAGCAAAUAGUGACGAGGAACUGAUAUGAGAGAGCUUUGAUGCCCCAUAGACUGGCACCAGGUGGCUUCAGGGUGUCAGUUAUCAAAGCAUUGAAACAUCUACAAAUGUCACAUAUCUUUCUUUUUCGAGAAAUUAAAGCCUUAUGCAACGGGCCAAGAUCUUCCGCUUAUAAUAGUAAAACUAGUGCUGUUUGUCAUUUUCUUUUACCUGUAGAGUCUCCAAAAUUGCAGGGCAGGCAUGUAGAACACCUGCAAAAAAAAUAAAGUAUAAGAAAGAAUAUCGAAAAUGGUUGGGAGUUGAGGGUCAACUACAGUGGGGUUUUGGGAGUAGGAUUUCGACUUUCGAGGGAUGGUUUUUUGGUGUAAAGAAAUCAGUUUUGUUUGGCAUCAUUAAAUACUUUACUUUAAAGAGGUAAUGUCAGAGUGCUAGCUGUGCAGGAGUUGUAUAAUACUGUACUUGAUAAUGUUAAGUACAUAACAUAACUACAAAAAUCUUGAAUUACAGAAUAUAAGACAAAUUUCCCGUUUUGUUGGCAUAUUGGUGUUGCCAUCUGGCCUUUAGCUAAGGGCUGUACUUUUUCUUUUUCUUUUUUUUUACUCCUUAAAAAGGAAAAACCCAGCUGCGAUACCUUGAGUAAGGUCGGCCACCCUUGGUCACGGUCUACGGAGAUUGUGUAUUGGAGUUUGACUCGAAUUGUAAAUAUUUAUUAUUUUAAACAUGUGAGAUGUUUAUAUAUAUAUAUAUAUAUAAUAGUGAGAUUUAUUAAAUUAAAAUAGAUCAUAUUUUAUAAAUUUAUGUUAUCAUGAUAUUUGAUAUUAAAUUUGAUUUUAGAGUAUUAAUGAUAUAUAUUAGAGUAAGAGAAAAUAUCAUAAUCUUAAAAAGUUAUAAAUCUAGCAUUGAUUAUAUAAUAAAAUUUGAUUGAUAAUUACAUAUAUUCAUACCAUUUGCAACCAAUGAUACUAAUUUUAUGAAUAAAAUCAUGAGAUUUGAUAAAUCAAAUCCAACGAACCUUGUAAAUUUGUAUGGACCUGCCAGGGUUAUUGGCUUUGCUGCUAGUGCUAUUAUGUGUCAUGGGAAGAUCAUGCUGAAACCUUACCCCAUAAUCUCUUAUCACAUUAAGAGAAAGCCAAGCAUGAUUUCUCUUGAAGAUUUUUGAAGCAACUAUAGGCUCGCCUUUUAUUAGUGUGUGUGUGUAUAUAUAUAUAUAAAGUCUUACCAGUAGUAUAAUUUGGGAUGUCGUUAAGUAAAUAGGAAGUUUAAUUAAUAGUAUCUAAAAGUUAAGUUAAUUUGAGAUUAAAAAAAAAAAGCUGGUUUAUUAAGUGAUAAAAAUGAAGCAUAAUGCUACUAAUUCAACAAUACCAAAAUCAUGAACAACUUAAAAAAAAAAAAAAAAGAAACUGCCUAUGUUUUAUAAUUAAAAAAAGUUUUCCCCUCAUAUGAUAUAAUCUAUUCCUAUUUAUGUACGAUUAUAUAACUUUUUUUUGCAUUAUACUGUAAUUAUAAAAAAGUAAUAGUGGGCCAGAAAUGGUUAAUGACUAAAAAAACUGAACUCUUCAAAAGCCCAAUCAACUUGGAAAGGCUCAGACAUCAUUGACCAAAUCGGGCGAGCUUUACAAAAGCCCAAAAAUGUUCAAACUGCUAAAAACAAAACCCUAGCCCGAUAUCUGCACGGCUUCUAUAUUUGCCCGCUUUUGAGUUCAUCCUUGCAAAUGGCAGCUGAAACUUAAAAUUGGUCAUGUUUUGGCUUUGUUUUUAUUUUCUGUAGCUGAAAAUUUCUGCCGUGGUUAAUAUAUUAAUUUUUUUUUUGGUUUUAUGAAGGUAUUUUAGAUAUUUUCAGUGGAUUAUUAUUAGUAUUAUUAAGAAUAAAAGCUGAUGAUGAGAUGUGAUUCAUAAGGCAAGAGCUGCAACAACAAAUAAAGCGCACCGUGUCGAUCCUUUCUGCAUGGGUGGUUGUUUGCGUUGAUGAAAGUGCCAAAAUGCUAAUCUGAGGCUUUUUCUUAAUUAUUAUUCCCCGCUCUUUGAUCCAUUUUCUUUCCCCUAAAAAUUAUUAUCAUUGAAGAAUCAGAUUUGUAUCCUAAAAUUUGUCAAAUUUACAAUUUUCAGAGUCCAACUGCCAGUUGGACAAGGUUUAGGAUAAAAACCAGCAAAGACAACAUCCGAGAGUGCCAUGUCCUGGAGUACCAAUUCAUUCACCUUAUAUGGUUUCCAUUGCUUUUGUUGUUUAUACAGUGAAUCGUGAAUGUCUUUAACUCCAAAACUGUAUAAGUUGCCUGGCAACUGGCAAAUCACACAAUAACAUGUGAAGACCAACAAGAGAAAUUGGCAAAUUGUUAAGGGUUUAAUUUUAAGUCAAUGGUUUCUUUUUUUUUGUCAGGGUAAAUGUUGUUGAAAUGCGCGAAUUUCGACCGUCUGUAGCUGCUAGGGACGGCAAUCAAGUCCAUUUUCGACAGGUUUCAGUUCGAUCCGAUUUUAUAAAGUUAAAUUUUUUUUUUGAAUUUCGAAUUUUGUGUCGGAUAAAAUUAUGUAACAAUCGGGUUUGGGUCAGGUUUGGGUAUGCAUAAAAUCCGACCUUACUCGAUCCGAUAUUAUUUAAAAAAAAUUAUUUUUUAAUUAAUUAAUUAUUUAUAUAUAUUUAUAUAAUGAUAUUUUUAAAUAUUUAUAUUUAAAAAAUAAUAUUUUUAUUAAUUUCGAAUCAGAUCGGAUGCGAUUUACAUAAUAUCGAAUCGAAUCGAAUUCGAAUAUUAAAUAAUUCAGAUCGAAUUCAGGUUUAAUAAAACAUAAACUCAAAUCGGAUUCAAGACGAGUUUUACCAUCCCUAUUAGCUGCAAGUGUGAAUUUUGCAUAUUCGUUGAUUGAAGCUCUGAAUGAUAGAUAAAGGGUCAACAAGGAAUAGUAGUUAAAACUCACCCCGAACCGACCUGAUGCCAUUCCUAGUAGCUGCAAGUGUGAAUUUUGCAUAUUCAUUGAUUGAAGCUCUGAAUGAUAGAUAAAGGGUCAACAAGGAAUAGUAGUUAAGGAUAUAACUGACUUGACUGGUAGGUUUCUUGUUGUGGGAGACCAAACACGUAUCCUUACAACAGUGCAGCUUAAACCUUCUCCCUUAAGUAAACUCCCUAUUUCACAUUAUGAGUCCAAACUAGUUCGAAGACUUCGCAAAUACCUUAAAAGGACGAUCGGCCCUGAUAUUUCAUUUCUGUAAGAUACCUACGUUUCAAGACUGCAAUUCUCUUCGGCAACCUCUUGCCAGUGGUGGAGAUUGAAGACAGACUAGGAAGUUAGCCAUGGGACCUGGCGGACCUGGAGGAGGACCAGGAGGACCUGGUGGUUGGGGAGGAGGACCAGGAGGGCCUGGUGGAUUUGGGCCUGGGGGUCCUGGAGGUCCCUGGGGCCCUGGAUUUGGAGGCCCUGGUUUUGGGCCUGGUGGUUUCUUUGGUGGCUUUGCUAAUGGCUUGUGCAAUAUGAUUUCUUCUUGGUAAGCGAUCAAUCUUUCCGAAUUCUCCUCCCAUGUCUAGUUAACUGCGCUUUGAUUUUCUUUUCCCCACCUUAAAUUGUUUUUGAUUGCAGCUUCUACUGCCUGUGCUGUUGUUGGCUACUACAGGACUGCUUUGGUGGACCCCGUGGCUAUGGCCCUCCCCCAUUCUAAUCUUUUGUGUUUGUUGAACAGCAGUCAUCUGCUGGCUGCUGCUCCCGUUCUGUUGUGUCUUUCCUUAAACCUUACAAUACAGUUCUACAGUUUCUUAAUUGCUGUCCACUUUGUUUUGUUGUUUCCAAUUCUCUUCUUAUCUAUUACCAUGCACACUGGUAUCAGAAUUAAUAAAUGCUAUAAUCUGAUUAAUUGGCUUGCUGUUGCUCAUUUCACUUGGGAAACUUAAUCCUAACUUUGCUCUGCGUUUUUCAAGUUCUGUUAUCGGAAUUUGUGUUGUACCAAAGAAUGAACUUCGUUUUUCAUUUUAUCCACCUCAGUACCAAACAUAAAAACAAGUCCCAAGCUUGAGGACAGGCAAAAGAUUAACCAAGAACUUGAACAGUAAAUAUCAACAAUUAUGCCAAACUGUUAGUAAAAUGAAUUUCUGACUAACAUUUAACAGGCACAAUUUGAAAAAUGAGGAAGCGGACAUCUAAAAUGGACAAAAGUCUCCAACAGGGAAACCCCAUUAGCAAAUUCAAGAAGACAUUAGACAGAUUUUCUAGUUUCUUCUCGCUCAAUGAUCAAAGAGACAACUAUGUUAGCAAAGCACGCGACAAACGUAGCGAUCAUGUCUCGCUCAUAAUACAAACAGUUAUAUGUACAGCAAAGAACUAAAAUAAAAUUUAUACCCCAAACUGCUCAUAUGGAAACCAGAAAGCAUUAAAGUACAUAGAAACUUUGUAGCAGAACAUUCCGAGUCCAUAGCAUGACUAUUACUCUGCAAACCAACUAUUUUGCAUCUGGCAAUACCUGCAGUCCAAAAGCAGGAGCUUCAACCACUUAAGAUCCAUAAGCAAAUGUAGGAAACCCUAAAAGAUUGAUUAUACUAACAAAUAACUAAACAGAUAUAGAAAAGUUGAAAUUUGGUAUACCAACAGAAAGCACAAUGGGCUUAACUAUUUGUCUCUAUCCAGAAAAAUUAAAAAGGCAUUGACAAAAAUUAUGCUUAUAUUGAGACUAAUUUGUCAGAAGUCCAAGAGUUAUGUUAGACUCAUACCUGAUUGCAAAUCACUCACAAGCAAUCUUGGUGUCAAAGCUACUAAGGCAUAUAGCAAAUGCCUGAAAAGCUGAGAUUGGAUACUGAUAAUCCAUGGUAAAUACAUCCUUUCCCACUUUUCCGAACUGGAGAAUGACAUUCUCAUGCUCCUGCCCAGCAACUCCAUUCUCUGGAGAAGCAACCAGCUGAAAAUUUUUGACUGAAGCAACUGUCACCCGUCCAUUGAAGUUCAGACACCAGCACUGGAGUUGUUCAUGCCACCUGGGUGCCUUAUUCCUCAACACCAGCAUUCCAUCUUUCUGGCCAGACAAAGGUCCAGACAGGAAACUCUCUAAGCGGGUUGAUUUUGAUCUAAAGAAUGGCAGUGAUGGGAAGGUAUCCAGAUUAUUGUGUAGGAACUCAGUCUGAGUUGGAGCAACACCUCCAGGCUCAAUAGAAGAGGCUGGGAUUGCGUCCAUGACGCAUUGCAUUCUCCUUGGACCUCUAUUUUCCAGAAUACAUUAAGUUAAAUGAGCAUACAAAAACAACUGAUGACCACCCCCAGAUACAGAAAGAGAGAGAGAGAGAGAGAGAGAGAGAGAGAGAGAGAGACUUUCACUAUACAAAUUACCUAGAACCCAGGACAUUCAACUCAUAUGAGAUGUGGGCUACAGGAUAGUUUCCAGCUGGGACACGAGGAGAGACUUGUUUCACGUUAAUUAGCCUGGUGGAGCGACUUUUAGUUACUUUGGCUCCAGCAUUUGGAGGCUGUGCAUCAUAAAUUGUGAAUUUGGUCCCCAAAAAGUUUGAUCUGUUAAAGCUAAUCAAGGUAAGUUUAGUUUUCCAAAAUGAGUAAUGUAUCAGCAAAAUCAUUAUCCAGCUGACAAUACCUCAAUUUUCCAAUGUAGGUACUGCUUCCUUUUGACACAUCAUCACCAUUUAAUGAUAUGAUGUAAUCUGUGCAGGUAGGACGGCGGCACUUCCUUGCAGCAAGAAGAAACUUUCCAUCAUCGUUUGAAGCUGCCAAGAAAAUACACAAAGCAAAACAUUUCACAUAUACAUCUAAGGAAAGACACCCAGAGAGAAGCAAGGUGCUCAUCAAAAUAAUCAAAUAGUUAAGGCACUAACUUUCUAUGAAUCUAACUACAUCAUAUAUCCAUCAACAUUUUUAAUUCAAUCAAUAAAUAUAAGCAAAAUCCUGUCAGCAGACACCAGCACCAAGCAAUACGUGAUGGUAAAGCUCACAAUACCAACCCCUCCCAUCACACCCAACAAAAAAACAUAAUCAAUAAAAAGAAGCUCACCAUGAUUCAAGCCAAGGUAAAGAUAAUAUGUCUGGUUGCUACGAUUCCGUUUUAUAUAGCAUUGAAGGAGGGAGUCCCUUGGCCCAGGCUGCAAAAACAAAACAACCAAAGUCUGUGAACAUGUGCCCUAACUUUUCAGUUACUUAUUCACAGAAAUUGAUGAAUAAAGAAAAUUGUUUCAACUUCCAAGUACAAACAGAGAGCUUAUAGUCUAUUCCACAUUAAUUUAAACAGAUACCUUUUAAGCAAUUAUACUGCCAAAAAACUCUCAAGUUCACAAUUCAUCUCAGGAGCACAAAUAGUUGGAAUAUUAGGAGAUUAUGAAAUAGAAUUUCAUGUUCGCAGUUGAUCACUAAAGUUAAAAUUUUAUGAUGCAAUAACUUAACAAGAAAAUUUUUUGUGAUGCAGCAGGAUACUGGUACAGUACCCAACAUAUUUCUAACUUCAGAUUCCUAAACUUCCUAAAGAGUAUUGCAAGGGCCAAGGCAAUCCUAGAAUGCAAUACGGUUCUCAGCUAAACCAGCAGAAAGGACAAUACAGCCCAUCAUUUUUCACAUUUAUCAGCACUGUUCAACCAUUACUUAUGAAAUCACCACACAAAUAAGAGAAUACAACAGGCACAUGGUAUUGCUACUAUUUUUGAAAAUGCUACUAAAUAUUCUUGCUUCAAUGAUCAAUCAAACUUGAAAAAGAAAAAAGAAGACUAAGAACUAGAGAUUCAAAGCCAGAGUAUAACAGAAUUGCUUUAAGAUGAAUACAUAACCAAAUGAAAGCAAUUGAAUCAAAUAGUAAAUCAGAUUGAGGAAGAAAAAAGUACAGACUGACAUCUAUUACCUGCUUCAAUGAGAUUGGAUAUGUCAACUUGCCAGAAAUUUCGGGGGUUUUCACAAUUUCCUUCAUAAUCUCUCUCCAAUUCCUACAUACACCAGCACAAGCAACCACAUUCUUUCGUGGAGGCCAACUACUCUCCGAUGCUUCUAUUCUUAUCAACACAUCCCUCAAAAGCUCAGGAGGCAUGUUUGCCCAACAACUCUGCUUGAACGCAUCAACUGGAACUGAACUAUCCUGAACUACCCUGUGUGACCUCGAUCUCAUGCCAUACCCAAACUUAACAUCAAACCCUUUUCGGGAGAUACUCCCCAACUCCCCCUUCAUGUCCUGGAUAAUACUCUUAAUCGACAUUGAUGCCUCAGUCCUAAUCGUCUAGAAUCCAAUGAUAGCUUAACAAAGCACUUCACCUCUAAAAUUUCUAAUAACUCAACAAUGUACUUAAAAACAUCCAAUUUUCCUCCAAUUCUCUACACCAAACACCAUAAAAUGAUCGCUGCUAUCAUACACCAUAAUAAACACUAAUGAUUUGAAUUAUGCAGUUGUAUUAUACAAGAGUAUAAUCAACCCAUGUUCCAAAACCUCUCAAACUUCAUACACAAAUAAGCUAAUAAGCACUAAACAACAUGAUCGAGAACCAGAAGUCCAAUAAGAUGGAAAAAUAUUCCACUAAUCGAAGUGAGUCAGCACCCCACAAUCACCAGUUCCCCUACAAAACAAUGUAGAUUACCAUCACUCACACCUAGAAAUAGACAGUAACACCAAGCAUCAAAAUCUUACAAUUUUGCCCAUACUACAAAAACUUACCUUUCACCCAAUAAAUCUAGUGACCGAACAAAAGCAAGCAAUAAAAAAAAAAAAAACAACGAACUUACAAGAAACAAUAUUCAGACAAACCACUGCAGAUCUCUCCCCUUAUCCUAAGAAACCAAGACCCAUAAAACGACCAGAAAACAUAAUAUAAAUUGAGACAAUUUAUCAAACCUUAAAAACAUCAAAGAACAUGCAAGAACAUCCCGGGCCAACAUGGAUCGGAUUUUCGGGUCAGAUGGUCGACCCAGUUUUCGGGUUCAAUGAAAUCUUGAGGUCUUUGGACGGAGAGAAAGUGCUGUCUGCAGCCAGCAGAUGCAGGAGAGGCAGAAAGUUAGGGCUUUUGGCGUUGUUGUUUAGGUUGCUUUUGGUGCGGUUUAUGCGGGGAGCUUGAGUCAAGGCACCUAGACCAGAAUUUCAAUGGACAAUGGGUCCCAUCUGCUCCUUAUCCAAUACUGCCCUUUGUCCUACGCUAAUUCCAAAGCCCAUGGCCGCCCGAUUCCGGUUUUGGUUUGGUCUUUGGUUUUACUUCACUUUCCACCCUUUUUUAGUUAAAAAAAAAAAAAAAAAAAGGUCUUCCGUUUACAUUGUCUGUAUUCUUUGGUUUCACCGUCGGUACAUCUUUUUAAGAAUUUUCUAAUAUGUUUUGCAUUUUGAGGAAUUUAAUGAUUUAAUAAUAUUAAUUAAUUAGCAUUAAUUACAUAAUAAAUUAAAAAUAUUAGGCAAUUGAUAGCAAUAUGCCCAUCAUUAAAAUUGAUAAUGUACUUAAUACAUAUAAUAUUUAAAAAAUAUAUAAAAUAAAAUAAAAUUAUGAAUAAUAUUCGUAUAUGAUGUGUUUGGUAUAUAAAAUUAUAAUAAAAAAAUAAAAUAAUAUUAUAAAUAUAAUUAAAUAAUAUAAUAUCAUUUUAUUUUGUAUUUGAUUUAUGUAAAUGUUAUGAUAGAAUAAAAUUUUAUCAAAAUUAUCAUUUCUUAAAGUUUAUAUAAUUUAAAUUAUUUAUAUAAAUUUUAAAAUUAUAAUAAGACGUAUAAGUCUAAUCCUAUGAAUUAAAAAUAUUUUUUUAUUUUUAGAUGAUUAAAUCAUUCUAUAACAAUAAAAUGAUUAAUCCUCUUUGUAAUUUCAUCAAUUUUUUAAAAUAAAAACAAACAUAAUAUAAGACAAUUAUUAUUUUAUUUUAUCAAUUAUCAUAUGCAUUAAAUAUGACCAUAAAAUAUUAAUAUAUACAUGAUUAAAAGUUAGAUAUGAUGAUUUUGUUUGUUAUUAAAUUUGAGAUUUAACUAAUUUUUAAUAAUUAAUAUUUGACAAAUUUAAAAUUUAUAACUUUUUUAUUUAUCUCAAAUUUUGAUCUUUUUUAUAAAUAAAAUAAUCUUUCUAUUUUUAUUUAAAAAAUGUAUAUUUUCAAUACUAAAUUGAGUCAUCAUCCUUCAAAACAAAUAAAUAAAAUUGUCAUCUCAAAUAAACAAAUAAAUAAAUACCAAACAAGAUAUAAUAUGGUUUUUAUCCUAUUGUAAAAACAUAGUAGUGAAAAAAUAAUAUUUCAUUUAAUUUGGACAACAUAAAAAAAAAAAAAAACUUUUAAUAUAGUAAUUGGUAAGGAUACAUAAAGAAACUUAAAGAGUCUAAAAAUGUUUAUUUGAGGAUGCCUGAGUUAAUGACAAUUAUUCAUGUAAUAUAUUUGGUAAAAAAGAGUUAAAAAUUAAUAAAUUGAAAUUAAAAAAAAAAGGUAUUGUUUAUAUGGCAUGAUCAUAGAGCAUACUUCACAUUAUGAACAAAAUGUAUAUAGUUUCAUUAUCUUUUUCAUUAAUCACGUUUAUUUUGGGUGACAGCCAAAUGUGAAUUUGUCAUUGGAGUAAUUACAUUUUGCCACGUUGUUUACUUUCUAUGAUAAAAAAAAAAUGAAAAUUAGUGCAUUAAAAAUUAAAAAUUAAAACCAAUAAAAAUUUUAAAAUUUACAAACAAUAAAAAACAUUAACAAAAUAACACAUAUUUUUUAAAAUGUAAUAUAAGUUUUUUUUUUAAAUAUAUGGUAACCUUUUUAUUAAAUUAAAAUAUUUUACUAACUUCAUGUAAAAAAAACAAACUCAUUGGAAAAUAUGUGAUAAAAAAGAUUGAAUGCUAUUUUAGUAUACGUGUAUAAUUAAGUCAACUGCGAGAGAGUGAGAUUGGAGGAGUCUAAUGGGCUAGCCCGCCUUAGUUUUGGAUCAGGGUUUAACUUUAUGUAAGUCCAAUCCGAGCUUCUAGAAUAUUAAAAUCAAGUUUCCAUAAUGACUUUUAUUUAAGAAAAAUUAUCACAUUUAUCAUCCUUAAAACUUAUCGGCGGAAUUAGAGAGUUUUUUUUUUUUUUUUUUUUGGCCAAGAGUUAGAGAGGGAUUAGAGAGUUGACGCAUUAAUCAUUGGAUAUAUUUUAAAAAAUUACUAAUAAAUUCAUAUAAAAAGUAGUGAGACAUAUAAUAAUAUUUUAACAUAGUUUAAAAAAUUUAAUGAUAUUAUAUUAAAAAUAAAUUAUUUUAUUGAAAUCUUAAAAGAAAAAAAAAACUCAAAAUUUGACUCAUCACAUCAAAGCAUGUGUUUAAAUUUCUUCAAAAAUAGUACCUGAAUAAUUUAACAGUAUAAUUUGAAUUCAAAUAUCUCUAUGAAAAAUGUUUAAAGUUGAUAAAAUUUCUUCAUACAUCAAAUGUAAGUAUGAUUGUGAUUGGUUAAAAGUUAUAGUUUGGGACUUACAUGUUAUAUUAAGAUUUAAUUUUAAAUUUUUUGUUGCGUUUGAAAAAUUAUAAUUUAAAAAAGUACAUUUAAAAAUAUGAUUAGGAAAAUAUAGUUUAAAAAAUUUAAUUAUAAUAUUAUUGUGAAAAGUGCCAUUGAUGUAUUAAAAUGUAAAAAUAUAUAUAUAAAUUAAUACAAAUUUAGUUAUAGGGGAUAAGAAAAAUCCCCUCUAAAAGUAUUUUUCAGCCACAAACAAUUUUUUUGCGUUAGGUUUGCAAAAUCGUACUUUUUAUGAUAAAACUCAAAAAUUUCACUCCAACUAACAUUGAGGUUGUCAUAAAAACAAAACUUUUAAUCAAGAGCACUUUUAAACCUCAAUAGUAAAUGGAAACCUUAAUAUAAGAAAUAAUUAGUUUGUUAUUAGUGUGAAGUACAAUUUAUUUUUAUUUUAUUUAAAUUUAAAUAAAAAUAUAAAUUAAUAUUAUUAAAGUUUUAACAUGUUUAAAAUAUAUAUAAAAUAUAAAUAAAAAGAAAAUAAAAAACAAAUCUACCUUAAAUUGAAGAGUAAUAAAAAAGUAAUGUUAAAGUCCGUGAAAAUAUGAAAUAUUGUUUGAAAAAUAAGUUGAAUGAAAAUACGAUAAAUAAUCAAGUUAUAUAAUUUUAUUUAACUCAUAAAUAUAUUUAAAUAAUUAUUUUAUCUAUCUAAUUAUCUUAUAUUUAAAUUAAUUUUCAUUUAAAUCUUGAUAAAUUUUAAUCCAUAAACAUAUUUAAAUAAUAAAUUUAUUUAUAAAUAAUAUUUAUUCAUAUAAUAAUAUUUAAAUUUUAGUAUUUUAUACUUUUAUUUAUUAAUUUUUUUGAUAUUUUAUAUCUUAACUCUAUUCACAAUAGAUAUUUUAAAAAUUUUAUACUGCUAACAUUUUUAUUAUAAAGGUUUGACAAAGUUUAUAAUCUAAAUGGAUUCCUAAUAAUUAAUUUUUUAAAUAUAUCAUAAAUUUAUAUUAUAAAAUAUUCUUGCAAUCGUAUGACUAAAUAGUGUAAAAAUUAUAUAUCAAUUAUAUUUAGCUAUACAUAAAAUAUUAAGAGAUGUUGUAAAUGUGAAAGUGUUAUUGGUACAUCUAACUUUAUUUUAUUUUUUUAAUUUUGGAAAUUAUGCAUGUGCCUUUUGACUAAGUUGAUAUGAUACACUAAUUGUUAGACAAAUAAUUCUCAUUUUGUAAUAUAGAAAGUAAUCUCUAGUCUUCAUUUCUUGUCAAAGUUUAUAUGACUUUGUUAGGACAUGUAUUUAUUUAUUUAUAUUUUAUUUAUAUUUUUUGUAUGAAAUAUAUUUAAAAGUCGAAUAUAAUAUAAUAAGUAUUUAUAAAAAAUAUUAAAGACAUUAAAUAUUUUUAAAAGUUGUAAUAAAUUUAAAUAUUCAUGUUAAUUGUAAAUAAAUUAAAAAACAUAAUUUACUUUAAAUUUGAUUUUAAAUUAAGACAAAAUGAUGGGAUAAAAAUAAUUUCAUUAAAAUUUAAAUUAAUUUUUUAUUAAAAUUUAAAAUUUUAGAUAAUUUAAUAAAAUUUAAAAUAUAUAUUUUUAAAUAAUUUAAAAUUAAUAAAUAUAUGUAUGUCAUUAUAAUGAGAAGUUUUAUGAAUUAUCUUACGUGUUAAAAAAAAAUUAUUCACGUAAAUGUCCAUAUCAAUAAUUACUUUUUAAUAAUUAUAUAUGUUGUAAUAAUAAUAUAAUAUAUAUAUAUAUAUAUGAUGUGCCAACCUCAUUAAUUUGCUCUCACGUUAUCUUUGUCUCGCUGGUGUCAAGCUCUAGUUUUGCAAUUAUUUAUGUAUAUUUUUUAUAUUUAAAAUAUUAAAAAUUGAUUAUUAAAAUAAAAAAUUUAAUAAUUUUAUUUUAAAUUUAUAAUUUAUAAAAUUAUAAAUUAUUUUUAUUUUAUGAUCUUAUUCUUAUGGAAGGUAAAAUUAUAAUAGAUUGUCUCAUGUCACAUACAAUUGCAAUUAAUAAAAAAUUAUAAUAUUAAAUGAUCAAAUUAAUUAAAUUAUUUUAAAAUGAUGUUUAAUAACUUGUGACGUUAAAUUUAAUUAUUUUUACUGUGAAUUAGAUUGCAUUUGUUGUAACGUAGGUGCCAAAUAUAUUAGCAUACACAUUCACAAGUAAAACAACUUUCCCCUAAUUAUAGCUAAUAUUUAUUUUUAGAAAUAAAAGGCAUAAAUGUAAUGCUUACUAUUUUCAUAAUUACUUUCCAACUAAAAACAAAACAGGAAAAAAAAAAAGUGCAAAAGAGCCAGCAAAGUUGGGAUGAAGCAAAUAUUACUAAUCCAAUGACAAAUUGACAUUUGUCGGUCUCCGAGGAUAAAUGGUUUUAGUAAUUUUAUUUGUGUGCAAGGCUAUAUUAGUAAUUUUAACAUCAACAAUCAACUUCAAGCCUAUAACGACUUUUUUUUUUUUUUUUUAAAUAGAUAUUCUUUACCGAGGGACAAUAGUUGGCGCUGUAGGGUCCCACAUCAAAACUCAUAUUCUUCAGAAUUCCACAGUCAGAUUCGAAAUCGUACUAGAAAUCAACGUAACUCCACCGCCUCACGUGUCCGCAACUACACUAUAAAAUUCCAUCCACAUUCCCUCCUUUCGUAGUCGUUGCAAUGUUUAUAUUCGGAUUCUCUCCAGGGGUGGUUUGCCCACUUAUUCUUUGCUUCUUUUUCUUUAAAAGCCCUAUUUCCGCAUUCCCCCUCUCCACUUAUUCUUUUUCUUUAAUUUCUAGCUUUCCUCCGAAGUUGCAGAGUAAUUUCGUGGUAAUUUACUUUAUUGUUUCUUGUUUUCCUUUUCUUUUGUUUGUUUGGAUGCUGGUGGAAGUGAAGUGAAGGGAUACUUGGUCGUUAAGUUUCCUUAAUCUCUCUCUUUUUUAAUGAAUGAAUAAAUUUCAAUGAGAAAGUAGCGUAUAGAAAGUCGAUUUAUUUGCGUUUGAUAAAUCAAAUUGUUGUUUUAGAUUUUACUCGGUGAGUAAUCUUACUAAUUAUUUCUCUUGUUUGGUUUUCGAGAAAGCAGUUGAAAAGAAAAAAAAGAAUAUUUUAAAAAUUUUAAUGUUAUUUAGUUUUCUCUUGUUGUACUGUAAAAACGAUCUCCGUUUUAGGUCAAACAGUUUCAUUGACUUCAGUCGACUUUUUUUUUUUUUUUCAAUUCCCAUUGUUUAAAAUUGUACGCAAGAAAACAGAAAAAUCCGACCGUUUCUUUGGUUUAACGGCCAAUUUUAUGCUAAUGAUUUGAUAGCACCUAAAGAUUAUCAAUGUUUGUUAUUAUUAUCUUUAUUUUUUAACGAAGAGUUGUUUUUGUAUUUGAAUUUAUUAUUUCUAUGAGAUAUGAUCAAUUUCAAUAACUAGAGAACUGAGUUGAAUCUUUGUGUUUCCAACAGUGGAAAUAUUUAGAUUGUGGCAGCUACUUUGGGGUAUUUGAUUUGAGGGCUCUGUUCUUCGCAAGCAUUCAGUGAUGACAUUAGAGCCUGACCAAGCUCCGGUGGAUUCUAUUACUCUAUUUGUGGCACUCCUCUGCUCCUGCAUUGUGAUUGGUCACCUUCUGGAGAAAAACCGAUGGUUUAAUGAGUCAAUAACUGCACUUGCCAUUGUGAGUUGUUCAAAUCACUCCCUAAAUAAUUAACCUUGUUGUUAUCUUAGAUUUGGGUUGGUCUUUGAUUUGGUUGUUGUUUUGUAGUGGGAAAAUUUUUUUUUUGACGAUUUUUGGGGUGAUUGCAGGGUUUUUGUACCGGAAUUAUUAUUCUGUUUACCACUGAAGGAAAGAGAUCACACAUUCUAGUAUUUAAUGAGGAGCUUUUCUUUAUAUAUCUUCUUCCUCCUAUCAUAUUCAAUGCUGGGUAAGUCUGACUUAUGCCAAACUAUGAAGUCUUUGGUUUUGUUGCCCUCAAUAUUUUGAUUGUUGCUAUUGCAAAUAUCAUUUGAAUAUGAUGCAUCAUGCAUCUCAUUCACUUUUUUUGAGGUUAGAAAAUCUUAUGGAUUGUGGAAACUAACUGUCUGGCUUGUUUAUACUUUUAUUUGCAACAUUGUUUCUUGAAAAUUGAAAGUAUUCCUGCCCUUUUUAUCUUUUUAUUGUUGGAAUGCUGUGUUUGAUAAUCUGAUCUGUUUUAAUCCACCAGAUUCCAGGUCAAAAAGAAGCAAUUUUUCCGUAACUUCAUGAUGAUUAUUUUGUUUGGUGCUGUUGGUACUUUGAUAUCGUUUGUCAUCAUAUCCGUAGGUAUAUCCAAACAUUUUAACAUUUCUUAGUGUUUAAGAAAAUCCCUUUACUAUUGUAUAACAUUCUGUUUAACCUAGAUUUUUUAGUCUCCAAAAUUUUGGACUAUACAAAGACAAUUUAUCUAAAGAUAAUUUAACCUACUACAACUUAAAAAGUAGCAUGAAACCUUAAAAUUUGAUGGCUAUAAUUUUUUUUAGAAAAACAAAGAUUAUCUUAAAGAUUUGUUGGUUAUGAAAAACUUAGAAGUUUGUUCUUCAUGCAGAUCACCCUGAAAGCAUACAAGUAUAACAAUCCUCCAAGUGAAUUGAGGAUUAGAACUUCUCUGGCAUCUUUAUAAAUAUUCCUAGGAUUUUCUUGUAUUGCACUUGUAUUGUCAGGAUUUCCCAAGGAAUAUAACAUGUUUGAUGCUCUCAAGGUGUUCAUAGGAUAAUCUUCAAUUAAAUCAACUAAGUUUUUUUUACACUGCAUCUAUAAAUUUAAUUGCUUGUUUAAGUUAUAAUAAGCAUAGCAUGAUAAACUUUUUGUUGGAACUGAGGAAUAGUUCAAAACAAAGAUUGACUAAUAAUUGCAAGUUUCUUUGGAUUGUAAUACCUUUUGGUAGUUAAUUUAUCUUUUCGCUGAUUAGUACCAGGAAAGAGUGUGUUUGAGGCUAAUUGUGUUGUAACUUUUACAAUUAUCUCAUCUCAGGUACCGUGCAGUUAUUUAAGAAAUUGAAUAUUGGUUUCCUGGACAUUGGAGAUUAUCUUGGUAAUGUCUGUGUCUUUAAUUAGUAGUUUGCUGAUGUUUCUUAGUUUAAAGCUUACUUUCAACUGAUAGGCAGUUGCACAUAGGAAAAUACCGUUUAAAGUUUGGGUCAGAUUGUUCAUCUUUGCAUUAUGAAGUAGCUUGCAUUAUGAAGACCAGGAACAAAUGAUUCUCAACUUCUUUUCUUUUGAAUCAUUAUUGGUAUGCUGCAUUUUCUUUUUCGUCUCAUUUGAGGUGAGAUAGUUUAUUCAAAAUACAUGGAUACACACACGCACAAAAACACCCAUAACACAAAGACACAUAUGCUUUUCAUAGAACCAGGGCUUAUAUUACUUUUCAUAAUGAGUUACUAUACAUUUAUUAGAGGCAUGACAGUUGUUAUUUUUGGCUUUUAACGUUAGUUUCUUCUUUUAGCACUUGGAGCAAUCUUUUCAGCCACAGAUUCUGUUUGCACUUUGCAGGUAUAAAUAUUUAUUUGGUUUGUGAAAGUGAAAAGAAUAGUUGAACAAACAUUGUAUUAUAAAUCUUGUAUUCUGUACAGGUGCUUAAUCAGGAUGAGACACCUCUUUUGUACAGUAUAGUCUUUGGCGAAGGUGUGGUAAAUGAUGCCACAUCGAUUGUUCUUUUUAAUGCAAUUCAGAAAUUUGACCUCUCUCACAUCACCUCAAGCAUUUUUAUGGAAUUCAUUGGGAGCUUCUUAUACUUUUUUAUUACAAGCACAUUGCUAGGAGUAGGGGUGAGACCUUUCUUUCUAAUUUUUGUAUCUUUUCAUGCGUGCAUCUGCCGAUUUUUUUUUUUUUUAUGGUUGCAAAAUUAUUUUCAUCAUUUGACCUUCUAUUCUUUGUUUGCAAAAUCCAUACUUUAAGUUCAAUGUUGUAUUAUGAAUAAUCUUCUUAGAUCAUCUAUCUAAUAUUUACACAUUAUAUCUUCACCUUAGCUAAAAGUUGUAUCAGACCUAUAUGACCAGUCAGUUAACUGAAACAAAAAGUGCAGUGAACAUCUUUAUAUUCCAUUUAUUGCCAGGGAUUCAAAGCCAUUGUGACAGGGAGAUUUCUAGUUUAAACUUUUAGUCUUUCCAAAAUAAGACUUAAGAGAUUAUUAAGUCUGCGUUCAAUACAAUCUAGACUUGCUAGAAGAUAAGAUUUUUUUCUUCUAAUCAUUGUUAACAUGUGAUUAUACAUAAUUAGGGUUUACUUAUGUAAAUAGUGCCAAUUACCAUCACAAUGAGCUCUUAAUCUUUUGAUUAUCAAUGAAUUAGCUGUUGGCUUUAAGCUUCUCCUUUGUUUUUCUCAAAGAAAACUUGUACUUUGACGAUAAAAUGAAUAUGCUAUUGCCUUAUUGCAAUUUUUGUUGCGUCAUUAAACCUGCUGUGUGGUAUCUUUCAUUUUCUUUCAAAUAUUAAUAACUUUGCAUAUUGAGUCUUUCCCUUUUCGGUGGGUUUUGUCUAUCUGAGAUUAGAAACAUGCAUUUAUUUUACAUAUUCAUCUAACAUAACAUCAAUUUCACAUGCAGGUUGGAUUAAUAAGUGCAUACAUCAUAAAGAAAUUGUACAUUGGCAGGUGUGUUAAGGGCAAAUGAUUACCUUUUCUUGUUGUCUCAUCUUUUAUGAUGCAAAAAAAAGUUACUUUAUUAUCCCUGUUUAUAUAUACGUUCAUCCCUUAAUUGUGUUAAAAAUGAAAAUGCUUGCAACUUUUAGUCAGAAGCAUUACAGCUCUAUGUUAGAGUGUUUCAAUGCAUGGAUUGGAGUUCCACAACUAUGUUGGUAGGCAUUUUCUGUUCAGAGCUUUAACAAGGUCUAAUAUUUUUGCUUGUCAAAUGUUUGCGAAUUUAUUUAUAUCAGCAAUUGUCAAUUGAAAUCUGAUUAACAAAGUGAUUAUCACCAACCUAAAUUUUCACAUAAUAGAUUGUUUGUCAUGGAUUAACUUAUGAUGAUAAAUUUAGGUUAUACUUGUUUUAGUACGAUGUUUGUCAGAGCUCUGAUGGCUCAAAAACUAAGAAUUCUUACUACAAUGCUACCUCUUAGGAUUCUCCUCAGAAUCUGUUGUUCUCUCUCUCUUUUCGCUGUUGAUAUCUUAUCUUUCUGCCUGACAUGAGAAUCCUAUAGCUCUAUACAAAUAACAUUUCCUUUCAUUUUAAACUAAGUAGCUAAUAUUCCACCAACUUUCAGGCACUCUACCGAUCGUGAAGUUGCUCUCAUGAUUCUCAUGGCUUACCUCUCAUAUAUGAUGGCUGAAGUAAGUAUUCUCUUUAAUAACUCAGUGCCUAAGGAUCUAGCUUUGUAAUAUUCCAGGUACUGUUUGUACGUUGCAUGUCAUAUCCCUAUUUUCUUUGAUAACAGUGUUGGCAAUUGUAUUCUGUUUUUCAGUUGUUCAAUUUGAGCAGCAUUCUUACAGUGUUCUUUUGUGGGAUUGUUAUGUCACACUACACCUGGCAUAAUGUGACUGAAGGUUCUAGAGUCACCACCAAGUAUGUUAAUUUGGAAUUUAGUUCCCAAAUGUUUGAAAGUUAUUUUUUUUCCCCUCUUUAGUUACUCCCUGUCAAACCCAAAUAGACAUGUUUUGACACUAUUGUGCUGAUUAUUGAUUAUUGCAGGCACGCUUUUGCAACAUUAUCUUUCAUAUCAGAGAUUUUCAUCUUCCUCUAUGUUGGUAUGGAUGCUUUGGAUAUUGAGAAGUGGAAAGUUGUUAGCAAAAGGUACUGCCUAUAUUUUUGGCCAAAGGUCAUUUGCAUUUGAUCUUGUCUUGUCAAGUCUUACCCUGUUGCAUAUAUAAUUUUGACCUAUUUACUCUUUGUACCCUUGUCUUUAACUAUUUCAAGAAGUCCAUUAUAUCAUGUCAAGUGAUGGAGAUAGUACAAUAUAGUAUGCAUAUCAGUUAUCAUUUUGGCAUCUUGCUUUUCUUUAGAUGGUAUCAGUUUGUAAUUUGCAUAUCAAAGCAACAUGUCUCUUAGUAGCAAUUGUUCAUUCAUCUGCAUAUAUCGUGUGUUUUUGUAGUCCUGGAACAUCUGCUGGGGUGAGCUCAAUACUGCUUGCCUUAGUUCUAGUUGAAAGGGCAGCUUCUGUGUUCCCUCUAUCCUUUUUGUCCAAUUUAAUUAAAAGGUCUCAGAGUGACAAAUUUACAUUGAAGCAACAGGUUGGUGUUUAGAGUCAUGUUUUGAGUUUUCCUUCCCUUUGACAUACUUGAUGCACUGACAUUUUCAAGUCAAACAGGUUAUAAUAUGGUGGGCAGGGCUCAUGCGAGGUUCUGUGUCCGUGGCACUUGCUUAUAGUCAGGUAAAUUAGGUAAUAGGAUGCAUGACUACAAAACCUCUGCAUUUUGAUGGAUUUAUUGUCCAAAAAUUGGUGAACAUAAAUAAUUUGAAAGGGGUGUCUUUGACCUCAAUAUAAGAUAAUAGUAGCAAGACAUAAUUUUUAUUUUCUUAGAAUGAAUUGGCUGGCUUUCUGAAUUGCUUGCCUCGUGAGAGGAGAUAAUGUUCUGCAGUGUUGGGCAAAAUAUGGUUAAAGUUUUGAAUCUGAGUGCCUGAUCAAACAAUGAUGUAUAAUAAGAGGAAUGAUGCAGCAUGCUUUUCUGUAAAUUGAGAAAUCUCUACCAAAAAAUUGUGAAUUGUUGGGCAACCAGCAUGGAUUUACUUCAGUCAUUGGCAGGUGCAUUUGCUUUGGCAUGUUAUACUGACAUAUUUUUUUGUGUGUAAAGGGUACUAUCCUUUUCUAUUUGAAUGCAAGGAAUCAAAUAAUUGGAGCAUAGCCACCUGAUUUGUUUUCUUGUGUUUCUUUCACUUUGGUUCUUGCCACCUAAGUUGAAAUUUUUUUUUCGAUGUAUAUGCAGUUUACCAGAUCGGGGCAAACUCAAUUGCGUGGAAAUGCCAUUAUGAUAACCAGCACCAUCACUGUUGUUCUUUUUAGCACUGUGGUAAGGACUUAUCUUUAAGUUGGGACUGUUUCUUAGUAAUAAUGAUGAGAUGUACUCUGCAUAAUUUUGUUAAUAAAAACUUUAUCUUGAUUGGUUUGGGCUAAUGCAUGGGUUUCUCUCCACCUGUACGUCUCUCUCAAGUUUUGGUAGUAUGGAAAUUGGAUGUCACAUUUGGUUGUGAUUCCUUGUAAAAUGUUUUCCUUAAUGGCCAUUUUAUUUCCUUGGCAUUAAGUCACUAACCAUGCUUUUACUAGCAUGCAUAGAUCAGAUAUCUUACAACUGUUUUCGGGGAUUUUUGUAUAGCGUUCAAUUUUUUUAGCUGCUGAAUAACUGUGGGCUACUGCUUCUCUCAAAAGCUACAAUUACCCCAUCCUAUUUGCUGUGUUUGCUACCAAAUCUUUGGAAGAAUGCUCUACAAUAAUGUUGCAUGCAUCAAAUUUAGCUUGUAACGUUCAUUUCUUUGAAGUUUGAUUUUCUUCAUUUCAGGUGUUCGGAUUAAUGACUAAGCCUCUAAUAAGGCUGCUGCUGCCAAGCAAGCAUCUUAGCAGCCCCGUCUCCUCUGAAUCUUUUGAUUCUUUUCCUUCUAAGCCGGUGACAGAUCUUCCACUUAUUGCCAACGGGCAAACUGCAGAUUCUGAAAUGGGUGGUGACAGCAUUCCCCGUCCAACCAGCUUACGCAUGCUCCUGACAACCCCGGCUCAUACAGUCCACUACUACUGGCGGAAGUUUGAUGACAGUGUCAUGCGCCCGGUGUUUGGUGGGAGAGGUUUUGCGCCAUAUGUUCCUGGCUCACCAACAGAACCACUUCUUCACUGAUUACAAAUACCAUACACUGAAUUUUGAAUUUGAAAAAAAAAGAGAUAGGGAGAUUUAAGGAUCGGCCUUAUGCAUAUUUAUAUGUAUUACUGAUUAGAGUUAUUGCAUGGUGGAUAACAUGCCUUGUGUAAAUAAUACUGAUUAGAGUUAUUGCAUGGUGGAAAACAUGACGAGAGAGAUGAUGGUACAUUUGUACCCUCUUCCUCAAUUCAGAAUCAGGUGGGUUAGCUUUAUAAUAUUCCACCACAAAACAUACAAGGAAUGUCAUAUAAAGCCAGAGAGUCAUAAAGUCUCCUGAGGAGUGGAUGAGUACGUCAAGAAAAAUCAUUUGCAGGCAUUUAUCUGAGGUCAACCUCUCAAAUGACAAUAACAUUCUUAUUCUACCCCGUCAGGGAGCAGAAAAAUGUGAAAUAUUCAAUAUUCUGCAUGUACUUUUAAAACCCUUUUGACAAUGGUUUCGCCACCAAGUAUUAUAUGGAUUUUUUUUAUAGAGGAAUUUCUUUUUCCAUUUUUUUUUUUGGAAGAGAAAGAAAUAGCAGAAGGUUCAGAUAUUUUCUAACGGGUUUUCGAUGCAAUCUGCUCCAUUAAGUUCCAGAUGUAGACAUUUGUUUUUUGUAUCAUCGACUGGCCGCGACUGUCAAAACCCAUCAUUGAAUUUGUCUUCAGUAUGGCAUUAAGUUAUUUUUUUAAAUUCAUGCCAGAGACUAGUUGUCACCAUUUCUGGCUGCAGUUGGGAAUCAGAAUUGGAAGGUUCUGACGUCAGUCUGACAUUUUGGACCGUUACCGAAAAUCUAUCUUUUUUUUUUGGUAAGAAAAAAAAAAAGAAAAUCGAUCUAUAUUUAUAAGCCCAGCUACGCUCUGCAUGUUGUCCGCUGGGAACAUGUCAAUCCAAUUCAAUUCCGACACAAAUGUCUGAAUUACAGCCAAAUUAUUAUAGGGGAUAAAACCCUGAAACCCAACCACCUAAAUAGACUUGCCCAAUGCACGUCGUUCACCGUAGAAUUCCACAAGAUAGGGGUUUAGAAUUUUUAGUAAGAUCCACCAGCCGAAAGAUAAAAAAUAAAAGUAGUAACCGUUAACCUUACAGCCAUGAUAUAAAACCUCGGUUGUUUCAUCCACCAAUGCCUUCCUUUCAUAUGGGAAAAUAACAAAGCCAAAGCACUUUUUCAUAGCCUAAUCAUACGUCAUAUUUCCAUUGUUCUAGGUAAACCUUAAGAUUUUAUUAAUUCAGUUAUUAUAGUACUAAUAAUUCCAUCAAGUAUACUCAAUAUUUAAUAAUAAUAAUAAUAGUUGUUGUAUAAAGAAAAAACAAGAAAAAUUGCCUGACCAAAUGUAAAUAGAGGGUAGUUUGGUAAAAGCGAAAGUCGAAUUAAUUAAUGGAAUUAAAAGGAUUUUUUGUUUUCACGGCAUUGAAGAAUGCGAAAUAUUCGGCGUCUUACACGUGGUGAAAGGUGAUUGGACAGACCGCAAUCCUAGCAAUAAAAGAAGACAAAAUGGAAUUAGAAAUCGGAGGAAACUGUAUUUAAAACAAUGUCUGUCACUUCAUCUCUCAAUUAAGAGGCUGAGGUCUGAGAGUGGAAAAAGAGAGAGACUAGGGAGGAACGCUCCUUCUCAUUUCUCAACUUGAAAACCAACUCUUUUCUGGGUAACCUUGUUUUGUCUUUCCUUUUCUUCUCUACAUUUUUAUUCUUAUUAUACAUCUCUUCUUCGCAACGUGCUUUACAGUGUAGCAGGUUUAAUUGUGUACAAGAGUUCCUUUUUUUUUUUUUUUAAUAUUUCCUGGUUUUAUAAACUCGGAUGUUGAAACUCUGUCCAGUAAUGGGAGUUUUCAGUGAAGUGAUUGUGUUUUAUUGGAGGGAAUAAGACUUUGUCUUCAGGGCAUUUGAUUCCUCAUUACUUAUUGUAAUCAGAAAUCUUCAAGGGGCCAGUGGGCCACUAGAUUGAAGCAGAAGAUCUCUUUCCAUAUAAAUAUUUUUCUCUUAAUUUUUCUCUGAUAUAUAUGGCAGUAAUAAUUAGUUUCUUCUGUGUUUUGUAACUUUUUUUUUUUUAUUGUAUUUGGCAGGUUUGAAUGUUGAAAUUUCCGCCAAUUGUUUUUAUGUCUAAAUUGACUAUAUUAGCCUUUUCUGUCUUAUCUUUCAUAAACGUUUCCCUGUUUUCUCGCCUUUGCAGGCAUAAAUAAGGAGGGGUAGUUCUGGUUCUUGCCAUUAUAUCAUUUUUGUCGUUCUUUACUGUAAAAUCUGACACUUAAGGGUGUAGGCGUUGGUUUCAGCUUUUUGAGUUUUGACGUUUGGUUUUCAAAAUUCUGUCAAUUAAGGUAAAGAAGAUAGACAAGAGGGAGAUGGUGCAAAUGAUGAACAAGAUGGAAACUUCACGUUGGUGGUGGUUUGAUAGUCAUCACAACGGCUCAAAGCGCUCUCCAUGGCUCCAAUCCACUCUUUCUGGUAAAACCCAUCUCACUUUUUUACUUUAUGUAUAUAUUACCAUCUCAGAUAUCUUCUUUUUCUUUUUCCCUUUUUUUUUUGGGUGCUAGCAGUUCGAAUACAAGGUUUCUUUAUUAUUGAAGCUUUCUUGAUGUUUCCUGUUUCUUGACCGUUGGGGAGGCAUGUGCUUUUUUUUUUUUUUUUUUUUCAAAGUUUCUUGAAUUGCUUUUUCUACAGCACUGUCACUUUUAGGUAUGUAAAAAGAUUUGACUUGCAAGUGAAAUGAAAUAAUGAGAAAUGCUUAACCCCCCCCCCCCCCCCCGAAAAAAAAAAAAAAGAAAUAAUGAGAAAGACUGUGGGUUAACCUUGAGGUGAUAGAUCACUUUUUUCUUAGAUAAAAACAAGAGAUUUUUGUGGUGGGACUGCAAUGGGUUCAUGAGAAUUGGAUGGUAAAGAGUAAGGACUGAGAACAAGAAGUUAAUUUAUACUAAGUAAUUUUAAAAAGUGUUUUGAUGCCUGCCUAAUGGCUGAUUGGUAGGGCCUUAUGUUUCUGAUUACUUCACCUUAUCUUGGUAACAGAAGGUUCCACCAGUAAAGCAUUUUUGUUUUCCCCCCUGAGACACUAGUAGAGACUUAAGGGAAACCUGAGAUGUCGUUAUCUUAAUGCGGAAGACAUUUUUCUGUUCUCUCCUGGAGUGCAGUAUGGGGUGGACAAUAAUUGUAUACUUAUUGUAUAGAUAAUCUUAUCUCUUUAAAAAUUUCAACAUUAAGGCUAGGACCUAGGAGUGAAUCUAGUUCUAGGAUUCAUGAUUCUACCUUUUGAAAUCAGAGACCUGACAAGCUGGUGGACUGGGUAACAACCUGGAAUUGCUUGGUACUGGACUCUGAUCUUGAACCAAAGAUGUGCUGGUGGUUCAGGGGUCCAAAGAGAUGGUAAGCGGGUAGUGGAACAAGUGACAUAUGGUUCCUGUAUUGAGGGAUAAUAUCUUAAUCUUCAUGACUUGGGUUCGGAUGUUUAUUCUGAUUUCUAUGGUCUAAGAUCUGACAGGCUUUAAUUUGUACAUGUGUGUGGUCCUAACUGUACAGGACCCUGAAAUUUAAAUCUCGCCAAGCACUGAUAUUUUUCCCACUUUUUCCUCCAACUAACUUUUGAGAUUACCUUUGCAGCUUAAGUCAUUAGGCCUCUAAAGGCACUCUUUUAUGAGUUAAUAAUGAAUUGGACCCAUUGCAAUCAGGUUAAUUACAAAAGGAUUAUUCUAAAGAACAAAGUAUAGAUUCUGUAAGAACUGAAGAAGUGGGUAGGACCCUGGACUCAUAUUUUAAUCAGCAGUUAUUUCUUUCUUUCUUUUGUUUUUUUAAUCAGCAAUUCUUUUGCUUUUUCUCCGUCUCUUGUAUAUACUUGACAUCCGAAAGAUAUCUGCUUGAUUGAAAGGCCAGAACAUUAGGACAUUACCGGGGAGAAACAGUAAAAUUUACCAAUUUAUUGAACUUCCCUCAAUUAAUUUCUUUUAGCAUGUUUUGUUUGUUCUCUCCAUUUGCUUAAAUGACGAAAUGAUUUACAUGAAUGUCAGAGCUGGACACGAAGACAAAGGCGAUGCUAAAAUUGAUAGAGGAAGAUGCAGAUUCAUUUGCUCAACGUGCAGAAAUGUAUUACAAGAAGCGGCCUGAGUUGAUUAGCAUGGUUGAAGAUUUCUACCGAGCCCACCGUUCGCUUGCUGAGCGGUAUGAUCAAGCUAAGUCAGACCCUGGAACUCGUCUCAUAACAGCAUUAGGAUCCCCAUUUUCUUCCACGAAGUACCUCUCAGAGAAGACACCAAAUGUGACAGAUAAAACCUAUGAUAGCUACUCUGAGACUUUUGAUUCUGAAGACUAUGCUGAAUCUGAAGUUGAUGACCCUGAACAUGAAACUGAGGAAGAAGUUGGGGAUCCUGAGCAGGAAGACAAAUGCGAAACCGAUAUAAUAAUAAAAGAUGUUCAAAAGGAAGAUGGAACCCGACUUGAUCAAGAAGUAACAGAAGAAGUUUCAAGUGAGGUCUGUGAUGAAGUAAUGAAGCUAAGGGAAGAAGUAGAGAGACUGAAAGAAGAGAACAAGUUUCAGAAGGCUCAAUUAAUGCAGAAAGAUGAAGAGAAGAGAGAGGUGAUUAGGCAACUCAGUUUGGCUGUCCAAGUGCUCAAGGAUGAGAAUAUGGUGCUCAAGAAGAGUAUCGUGAAAGAAUCCCCCAGGAAAUGGAGUCCCCUUGAAUUCAGCAAAUUAAAGGGAGGACUUUUUGGGAUGUUAUUCAAUGGAUCUCUGAAGUCUCAUGCUAGUGUUGUUGCUCUGUAGUUUUAGUUUGGUUACAUUAAGGCAAGUAGCAUAUACAUAUAUCCUGUAGAAACACAGCGGUCCAGAUUAGCAAUAGUGGUGUACAUGAGAGGAGAAGGUGGGGGAAUUCCCCUUUAAACUCAUCUAAUUAGUUAUUAUGUGUUACUUCUGAGGAGUGAUCUGUUUUUAUUAUUUGUUUCUUUGAUUUUUAUUCUUCGUUUCCUUAAUUUGACAGAAGUUUGACUUAAUGUAGUCUUUGAACUAAUUAUAUAAGCAUUUUUGGAACAAAACAGAGCUUCUAUUGGUCUAAGUAAAAAUCUUUAUGCUACAUUUCUAUUGAUUUAUGGUUCAACGUACAUUAAUGGAGAGGACUUCAUUUGUUUAUGACAUUAUUAUCUAAUCACAGCUUGCAACAAUGCAAUACACUUAAUUUACCAAACAUCACACUACAAAAAAGAAAUACACAAAACAUAAAAAAGAGAAAGUGAAGGCACUAGGAACAAUGAUUGCGUUUGCCAACAACAGUACCUCACACACCAGAAAGCUGCUGCAAUAAGCAAAGCACCAGCAAACUAAGAAACAAUGUUGAUUUUAGAGCUCGAGCUGAAGUUAGAGAAACCGAAGUGGAAUUUGGCAAAGAGUCAGAUGGUGAAAGUGCGAAACCAGGACCAGGAUCCAAAAUAUUAUCCGGAUUUGGAGGGCUGGGGCUUGAAGGAAUUGUGGGCAGUGAUGAAUCAGUUGGAGAAGGUGCCAUACCUUUAGGAGUAGGGAACAGAGGUUCAAUAUCUGGGGGUAAACUUGGAGAAGAGGCUAGAGGAGUACUUGGCAAGAAUGCAGGUGCAGCUGAUAUAGUGGAGUAUUGUACAUGUAUGUGAGAUGAAGAUAAGGCUAGUGAAGAAAAACAAGCCAUGAAAACCAUGAACAAUAUUCCCCAGGGUGACCAAAGCGAAGCCAUUGAAUGAUGAAUUGGUAUAAAUUCCCAAAUUAUGAAACCUCAAUAAAUGAAUAUAUGGAGAAAGAAGAGAGUAUAUGCAAAAAAUGAUAUUGAGAAGAAUGUGAUGAGGUUCAUGAUUAAGGCUUAAAAAGUUUAAAGCUAAGGAAGUGCUGGUGGGGACAUGAGAUAGAGAGAGAGAGAGAGAGCCGUAUGUCAACAGAUGAUUUGGCAACUUUUAUACAGCUCCGCAGAUUGGCUACCAGACAAUGUGGAUAUGUUAUUUUCCUCUCGAGCACAUGAUGAUAGCCGGGUUUCCUUUAUCCUUUUCCACUGAAUUGUUUUUGGCUAUGUUUCAUCCGUGACAUUCUUGCUUUCUGGUACAAAAAUAGAGAACUAAACCUAUAAAAGAAACAAUAGGUCAUGACAAUGGAGUUGAAAAUUCGUAAAUAAAUUGGUUUUGAGUAAUGCCUGCCCUGGUUUUGGAAAAGUGCUACAUUUUUCCGUUGCCCGGAGUUUCUUUUCAAUAACCUAAGAGAAAAACACAGUCAGUGAAAGCAACUGAUUUCUGUUCGACACUUGAACAUUCAAAAUGAGUGGUUGAAGGAAUUAAUCAUAAGGCCUUAAUGGUCAAUGAUUACAAAAGUCCAUUUUAUGGGAAAGAGAGAAAAUUUUCAACUUUUCGGCUUCUAUUCUUGUUUGGAUUUUUGGACAGUUUCUAGUACUAUUUGAAUCGUAGGCCAUUUUCAAACUUCUUAACAUUAUUAUUUUUGUUUCUUCGAAAGAUAAUUAACAUUAGUUUAUGUGGUGGAAGGUUCAAAUUUAGCCCUAUUACUUCUUUUUAUUGAUAAAAAAAUACCUCUUACUUUUUAUAUUAAAAUUAUUUUAUAAUUUUUUUACAUUUUUUUUUACUUUAAAAACUAUGGAUCAUCACUUUUAUAACAAAUUAAAAUUUUACCAUUAACUACACAAAAGUUAAUUUUUUUAAUUUAAUUAAAAAUAAAUAUGGAGAAAGAGUUAAAGACAAAAGAAGUAAUUGAGAAGGAAAAUGUUAGGCACUGAUUCAGGUGAUAUUUAAAAAAUAUAUAAUUAAAUACACUAUUCUUCUUAAAUUUGGUAAGAUUAAACAAUAAAAAAAUUCUUCUUUUUUAUUUUUUAAAUAAAUUUUCAUAUUUUUAUUUUACCCAAAUAAGUUCUUAAGUCCUUAUUUUUUAAUUUGUAUUCAAAUAAAUCUUUAUUUUAAAUGAAACAUGGAUUUAUGUAAGAGUUUAUUUAAGUAUAAAUUAAAGAUCCAAAUUUUAUUUUUAUAUUUCUUCCAUUUUAUUUUCGUUGUUCAUCCUUUUUCCAAUGUUACAAAGUUAUAUCUUUUUUUUUAAUAUCUAAUUUAUUUUUUAUUUUUUUAAUUUUUAACAAUAAAAAUUGUGAAACUUUAAUUUUAUAAAAAAUUGUGAAACUUUAAUUUUAUAAAAAAUUAAAGAUUUAAUAUUAAAUACAUUAAAGUUAACUUAUUUUUAAACUCUAUGAAAAUUAAUAAAAUUUAAAUAAUUUGAGAAAGAUAGAGAAUAAAUUAAAAGUUAAAGAUUUAUUUGAAUAUAGGUAAAAAUUUAAGAAUUUAUUUGAAUGUAAUAAAAAUAUGAAAAUUUAUUUAAAUAAAAUAAUAAAAUAUAUAAUAUUUUUAUUUUAAUAAUUUGAAAAAAAUAUUACAUUAAAUGAAAUAAGCCUUAAAUCAUUUAUCUUGACUAGAGAAAAAUUCGAGGGUAGAUAGAUUGUUCAGUCUCUUAAAUCAAGACAAUAUGUGUCGUACUUAAUAAUUUAAUUCCAACAAAUGAUCACAGAUAAAACUUAAAUUUAAUAUAUUUUUAUAAAAAAGAACGACCUUAACCGAUUGAAUUAAACCAUUGUUUUUAAACCUUAAAUCAUUUAACGUCACUGAUCAAUCGGAUCCUUCAAAAUUGACACUAACUACGUGGCUUGCGCUAAUUAUAGCCCUCAGGCUGUUGGACAGUUGAACACAUUCUUUUUUACUACCCAAACAAAAACUUUGGUCCAAACCCAAAAGCAAAGGUGAGCCCAUAGCCUACUGGGGUUUGUCCCAGUAGCAUCGGCCUUAUAGUAGUAAGGGGCUUGUGUGGACCUCAAGUGCUGGGUUCAAGCCUCCACCACCUCACGUAAGUAUGCUAAAGAAAGCUAAAGCCCAUCUAGCCCAUGAAACUCGUUAACUUCCCUCAAACAUCAUGGUCUGAAGGCUAAGAUCUAAACUUGUUUGAUCUAAGAGGCUUAUUGUUUUCAUAUGUCCCCUGCUUAUUCCUUUUUUUUUUUUUUUUAUCCAAUUUAGAAUUAUUUUGAGUCUUUACUUGAUAUUGCAAUUUAUUUGGGGACGCACAGACAUGCAUUUAUAUCAUCUUGUUGGAAUAAAAAAUAAAAUAAAAUCAAUUAAAGUGAAGGUAGUAAAAUGAAACCCAACUCCGAAAAUUCACCUCGAAAAAUACAAACUCCAAAAGCCCUAUUUCAUAAAAAUAAAAAUAAAAACAAAACAUAAAUGAAUCCUAAAAUAAAAUUAAAGUACAAAAUAAAGAUAUAAUAAUAAUAUUAUUAUUAUUGAACAAUAAAUGAUUACUAAAUGAAUGAGUUCUAAAUAAUCUUUAAAUAAAUUUUUUUUACGAAUACAAACAAAUUAAAUAAAUUCCUAUUCGUAUUCGGUUUGUUUAAUAAAUAAAUACAAAAAUAUUACUUAAAAUUAUUUAUUAAUUAAAUUUAAUAAAUGAACAAAAAUAAAAUAUAUUUAUAAAUAAUUUGUCAAAAACUCUAUUUUCAUUUACAUCCUCACUAAUGACAGUACAUGAUAAUUAAAAAAAUCAUUCAUUUGAGUUUCAUAUAUGAUUGACGUGAGAUUUAAGUUUAGAGUACUAAUUAAUUUUCUACUAAUGCUUGUUAUGUCAUAAUUCAACUACUCUCAAGAAAUCUUUAGUAUUAGACAUCCUAGAAGUAAGGCAUUAAUUAAAUAUUUACUUUUCGUUAUUUACGUGAAUUAGAUAUGUUUCUUCUGAACUAAUUUUGAAGAAUGUUGAUAAAACUAGUUGUAAUUUUUAAUAUCGAUGACAUCUAGGGGGGGAGGGGGUACUUAAUUGAGUAUGGUUUGCUUCUAAAAUAAAAAUAAAAGUCCUUGUUUCUAUCUUUUGGUUAACUCGAAACAUACCGCGAUAAUCCACAAACAUGUAUCCUUUACGUUGACUUUACAACACGUUAGUUUAUCUCUAUCUCCUUUGUUUGGGAGCCAAUUAAAUGUUGAUAAUGAAUUUGAAAACCACAAGCAAUUGAAUUUGAACCUGUCUAGAUAGAAUAAAGGAGAUUACUAAUGCAAUCCUCUUUGUCAAUAAUAUUUUGUGAUUGGCUUUUACGGAAAGACAGCAAUGUGUUGAAAGAACUUAAACAAACUCCUUAAUUUUUCAACCUAUUCACAUGAGAUAAGCUUUAUAGAAAACGAAAGAAGCCCACGAGGAAAUUGCAAAAUCGGUUCUUGUUGGGUGAAACAUGCGUAACAUGCUUGGCCAAAACCAUAUUCAAAUCCUGAUAUCAUUCAAUCAAGAAGAUUUCAUUGACCAGCAGGUGAAUAUACAACGUUUUCCUGCUACGAGAUAACAAAUUUCGUGACAAUAUCAAAUCUCCUACAUGUUCAUGAUUUAAGCCUCACAAAGAAAAAAAAAUCAACACUCGUACGUUCUAUUUCAUAAAUAGAAUGGUUGAUUAAAACUUAAUCUUUACGACUUCAAAUACUGAAAAAAACAAACAACUGCUUCCUAAAAGGAAAUAAUGAUUUCUUCAAACGAACAGGGGAAAGGCGGUGCACCGAAUUAAAUUGCUGCAGAAAUAGGCUGGAAUUAUCGUUUUUUUUUUUUGAAUCAUUUUCCAGGACAGAAAGGUACCAAAUUUUACUGCCAGAUGUUUCAUAGAGUUGAAAGACUUCUAUUAGACUCACGAAGAGGUGGGAUUCUUCCAUACAUGGCAUCCAGACCCACAAGAAACAUGAAAUUGAUUUUCAAUUGUUAGGAAAAUAGCUAGCAAAACAGACCAUACCUUGAAAAAAAAAAAAGUUGAUUUUGAUAACUAUACGGAAACGAGAGAGGGGAGACAUUUUCUUGCUUCUCUUUCCACACCAAACCCCACACUUUCUUUCCAGCAGAGGACUCCUACUUUUGCAAAAUUCAGUGUCAACUCAAUCCUCGAAUCAUUUCACACUAGCUAGCAAUUGAUCAUACCUUUGCCAUAACCUCUACAAUUUCGAAAUUUAAAACCCUUUAUUUAUUUAUUUUUUGUUGUUGUCAAUUGUCAUUGCAAUUUUAGUACUAUACAAUAAACAUCGAUCAUUAAUUCAGUCGCUAGAACAUCUCUGUCAAACCUUGAAGAAAAUUCAACUGUAUUAAUAAUCAAUCGUCAGGAAGUUUCAUGUCGUUAUUGCUUUUGCCAAGAAAACAAUGCAGUUUCAUCGAUAUUUGGGCAUUAACCAUUUUCAUGAUUCUCAUUAUUCAUUAACCAAAAUGUUGCAUUUUGAAAGAAUGGAAUUACUAUAUAAUUACUUCUCAAUCCUCAUUUUAUUUAUUUAUUUAUUUAUUUUUACAUAAAAGAAGUUCACAAAAUUGAAUUCGAUUUAUAUAAUUAUUUAAAAAUCAACAUUUUAAUAUAUUAACAUUUGAUAUAUUUAGCAUUUAAAAAUUGGAACUACUUCCAAUUUUUUUCCCUUGUUUAGUAUAAUAAAAAAAGUCAUAGAUUGCAACAACAUAACACACUUGCAUUUGUAUAUACAUCGUUGAGUUGACUACGUAAAAAUAAAUAAAUAAAUAUUUGCAUCCAAAUAUCAUUUUUCAUGACUAAAUACAAAAAUAAUUUUAAUUACCCUAAACGGUAAAGCAGACGUAAACUAGGGUUCAUCAUAGACGUCAUGACAAGUGACAGCUCAAAAGGCAAAUAAUGCUUUAUUUUCUGUCGUCUAUCAUGAAAUGAAAUUUUACAGCAUGUCAACGAUGUUGAGAGUUGAAUAUAGCUUUCAUUUUAGAAUGUUAGAUGAAUUUUAUGUUAGGUUUUCUGUUUGAAUUUUUAAUAUAAUUUUUUUUUAAAUUUUGAAUAAAUAUUUUAUAUUUGAUUUAUUGAUUUAAAAUGCCAUCUUAUUGUUAAUAUCGACAGAAAAUUAAAGAGAGACGAUAUUUGAUAUGUUUAAAGUUUAAAUUUUAGUAUUUAUAUAUUUUUUAAUUUUUAAAUUAUGAUUUUUUUAUUAAAACAAUCAAUAAAAAAAGAUGCAUGUUAAUCUUCUAUUAACUUAUAUUAGAUCUUUUUCUUUUUUUUUGUAUUAUUUGAGUAAUUAAUAUAUAUAUAUAUAUAAAUCAACUACUGUAAUAAUCAUAAUUUGAUUUUAUUUUUGAAAAUUUUAAAGUUUACAAAUAAAAUUGAUAAACACACGAUCUAGUAUCAUAAUGAUUUCAAAUUAAAUUUAGUUAAAUCAAGUCCACAUAAAAGUUUUACAAAUGAAUUACUUAAAUAAGAAUAAUAAAAAGAUAAAUAAAUUAUAAAAAAAAUAAAUUAACACAUCAAGUGAACAAUAAAAUAUAAUGUAUAAACUUAUAUUUCAAAUCCUAAAAUAAAAUUCACCUAAUCGAUUCAAACAAAUUAAAUUAACACACACAAAAUAAAUAAAUGUUUUAUUUAUUUAUUUUAAUGAUUUUAUCAAUGAAUUUUUUUCCUUUUUUGAACCAUUUUUUUUAAAAACAAAAGUGUAGAUUUAGUUUACAAUCUAAUCGAUCUAAAAAAACCAAACAUCAUUAUACAAAAGAGAUUUAAUUUCGUCGCCAGAUUCCCUGACUUCAUCAAAUGUCUGGGUUCAUUGUUUAGCAUAAAAUGUCAUCCAAUCGACACAAAUUGACUUUUCAAUGAAUACGAUGUAAAUCUAAUUUUUUUUAAUAAUACAAUUCUUGUAAAUUUGAAUUAAAAUUAAAAUGAAGAUAGAAAGCAGGAGAACCUCUUGAUCGAACCAUCAUUUUCAAUCAAAGCCCACCAACCAGAGCAUACGUGGAUCUGUAUCACAUAUAUAUAAUUAUAUGAUAUGAUUUGUCAAUUUGGCAGAUGGAUACAUAAGCCUAAAUUGCACGUCAAGUAACGUCACCUUUGCAUUGUAAAAGAUCUUUUUUUUUUUUCCUUCUAUUUUCUAACUUUUUUAUAUACGAAAAUGGGAUAAUAAGUUUUGAAAUUAUUUAGUGUUUUAGCUACUUUCAGUUUCAUUAAUUACCAGCAAAUUUACUAGUAUUUUAGUUUUUUUUUUUUAAUUUUGUUUUAAUUUUCAAAGCCGUACCAAGCUGAAUCUACUAAACUAUCUAAAUUAAAUGAAUUUAAUUUAAUAUGAGUAUUAAAGUAGUGAUAGAAUAAAAUUGAAUUUCUAUCUUUCUAGAUAGUUAUUGUUCCAAAAUUAAUUAUCACCUACUUAUCCAAAAAAAUCAAUUACCACCUAAUUGGGAAGAUUUAGAUGAAGUUAAGUAUGUGAAGUUUUCUACUAAAAAUAAUUAAAUAAAAUUUAAAAUUUAAAUAA